rnacentral:lncRNA from 1 species
GGUUUCGUUAGGGACGCUUACCGGAGUCCGGUUCAUGGCGUGCUUCCGGUUCAAGCUGUGGUGGAUGGCCCAGAAGAUGGGGGAUCAGGGAAGGGACAUACCUCUUGAGACUCAAUUCCUAUUGCUCGAGACCAAGCACGGGUCCCACCUGGAAUCGGACGGCGGAGACGAAGAGAACCAGAUCGUCUACACCGUGUUCCUCCCUCUCAUCGAAGGCUCGUUCCGCGGUUGCCUGCAGGGCAACGCGAGCGACGAGCUCGAGCUCUGUUUGGAGAGCGGCGACGCCGACACCAAAGCGUCGUCGUUUUCCCACGCACUGCACGUCCAUGCCGGGACGGACCCGUUCGGUACGAUAACGGAAGCGAUCAGGUCCGUCAAAGUUCACCUUCAGACGUUUCGUCAACGUCACGAGAAGAAACUCCCCGGAUUCGUUGACUAUUUCGGGUGGUGCACCUGGGACGCGUUUUACCGGGACGUGACUCAGGAGGACGUGGAGGCCGGGCUCGAGUCUUUAGCCGCCGGUGGAACACCUCCGAAGUUCGUUAUCAUCGACGAUGGGUGGCAGUCCGUCGUCGGCGGCGACGACGGCGUUGAAAAGCAGGAGCCGCUAAGGCUGACUGGGAUCAAAGAAAAUUCAAAGUUUCAGAAGAAGGACGAUCCGACAGUGGGGAUUAAGAACAUCGUCAGCAUCGCGAAACAAAAGCACGGGUUGAAGUAUGUGUACGUGUGGCACGCGAUUACUGGCUACUGGGGCGGGGUCAGACCCGGAAUCAAAGAGAUGGAGGAAUUCGGAUCCUUGAUGAAGUACCCGAACGUUUCCAGCGGUGUUGUGGCCAACGAGCCGACGUGGAAGACGGACGCGAUGGCGGUGCGAGGGUUGGGGCUGGUGGAUCCGAAGGGCGUGUACAAAUUCUACAACGAAUUGCACAGCUACUUGAGCUCUGCGGGUAUUGACGGCGUUAAGGUGGACGUGCAGUGCAUACUGGAAACUCUCGGAGCCGGGCUAGGCGGUCGGGUCGAGUUGACCCAGAAGUACCACCAGGCGCUGGACGCCUCAGUGGCGAGGAAUUUCCCGGACAACGGCUGCAUCGCGUGCAUGAGCCACAAUACUGACGCGCUCUACUGCUCCAAACAGACCGCCGUCGUGAGGGCGUCCGACGAUUUCUACCCCCGCGACCCGGUGUCGCACACGAUCCACAUUGCGGCGGUUGCUUACAACAGCGUGUUUCUCGGCGAGUUUAUGCUGCCAGACUGGGACAUGUUCCAGUCGCUCCAUCCGGCGGCUGAGUACCACGCUUCCGCCAGGGCCGUCAGUGGUGGGCCCAUCUAUGUCAGGUAAUUAGAGAUUUAUCUCUUCUAAUAUCGAAUUUUGUACGUUAAUUUGUUUUGUAAUUAGUAAUUAAUAAUUGGUUUUUACAGUGACGCGCCUGGGAAGCACAAUUUCGAGCUGCUGAGGAAGCUGGUGUUGCCGGACGGGUCAGUGCUUCGGGCCCGAUUGCCUGGACGCCCGACGAAAGACUGCCUGUUCUCUGACCCGGCCCGCGACGGCGUGAGCUUGCUGAAGAUAUGGAACAUGAACAAGUACACCGGAGUCCUCGGCGUCUACAACUGCCAAGGCGCAGCGUGGAGCACCGCGGAACGGAAGAACACGUUCCACGAAACCAAAUCCGAGGCCAUCACGGGUCUGAUUCGCGGCCGCGACGUCCACCUGAUUGCGGAGGCCGCCGUGGACAACGACUGGAAAGGCGACUGCGCCGUGUACAGUCACCGGACGGGAGAGAGCUGGUGACCCUUCCUUACAAUGUGUCGAUGCCGAUUUCGCUCAAAGUGCUGGAGCACGAGGUUUUCACGGUGACUCCGAUCAGGGUUUUGGGCGGCAGAUUGAGUUUCGCGCCAAUUGGACUGGUGGAGAUGUACAAUGCAGGCGGAGCAAUUGAAGGGUUGGGAUAUGAACAGAACGGCGUCGUCCGAUUGGAGGUUAAGGGCUGCGGCAAAUUUGGCUUACUCUUCUGCUAAGCCCAGGAAGUGUCGGGUCGGGUCUAAUGUGGUGGAUUUUGAGUACGACUCGUCGUCUGGGUUGGUAAUUUUGAGAUUGGAUCAUUUGCCUGAGGACGGUCAGAAAGUUCAUGUCGUUGAGAUUGAAUUAUUAGAAGGAAAUUAGACCGUUAGAUGAAAAUUGUUAUGUGCGGUGUUGAUUGAGUUCUGCAAUUGUUGGAGAGAAUUUUUAGAGUGCAGGAACAUGACCCGUUAUACAAAGUGGAAUAAUACGAUUGGUUGAAAACUUGAAAAAAGAUUUACAAUCAAUUGUAUUAAGACACUUAGUGUAACAUACGUGUUUUUGGUUUUCUUCACAUUGUUGGGAGAAGGGAGGAUAUUUAAAUAAAUUUAUUAUAUAUUAUAUGAUCAUAUGAACCAGUCUUGUAACACUAAUGAAUAAAUGCAUCAAUAUUAUUCCAUUUGUGAAAAAAUUAUUCGCAUGUAAGAUUAAUCUAAAUUUGGCCCUUUUGCUGGCGCUAAUAGGGAGCAAGAGAUGGAUUUGAUUUGAUAAUCAAUGAAUUGAGCAACAAAAAUCAUGGAAGCACUGUGCAGACUUCUAAUUACGCUUGUUUCACACGGGUGGGCGGGUUAUGACCCGAAAAUCAAAACUUUAAAGACAAAACCCAACCUAGAGAAUUACGGAUGGGUCGGUUGGGUGACCCAUGAGAAUGCCCACCCCUACUGUCAUGUGCAGAAAAAAAUUGCAUAUAGCAAUGCUUUAUUGGACAAAAGACAUCACGUAGUGGUAAACUCGUUCCAUAUAAGUUAUUUUCACUUCGAAGAGGCUAUGGUAUGAAUACACCAAAAUGGUAUUGUACCAAACCGAAACCAUUUGGUUUAGGGAUGAUCAGGACUUGAAAAUUACAAUAUCAAAAUAUCUCGUACUAGUCAAAAUUUUCAAUACCAACACUGGUUCUAACCUCAUAUGAACAAUCUUGUAAAUGUUUUUUUCCAACACACAAAUUAGGGGUGGGCAUCAAAUUUACCAAAACGAAAAUUAAUCAAUUAAUUUUGGUUUAGUUUGACUUUGACCAAUAAAAAAGUCAAAUAAUUUAAAAUUUGAACCGAUUUCCUUUUAGUUUGGUCCGAUUUUCAUACUUUUAAAACUGACUAAAACCACACUGAAUCUAUCAUAUAUUUUAAAAUAAAUUGCAUUAAUCACAUUUAAAGUAAUGUUUGAUAUCCAAAUGGUGUGACAUAAUUAUUGUAAUUGUAAGAGCAUCUCCAAUGAACUCUCUAAAUGAGUUCUAGCUAAACUUUAUAGAGGAAUUUGAAAAAAUCAUCUCCAAUCACACUAUAUAGUGACCUCCUUAGACAUGGAUUUUUCAGAUAUCCUAAAUAAAGCUUAUAGUAUUAAUUGCUAAUAUUUUAAUAAUAUUUUAGAGAACUGUUAUUUGCAUACCAAAGAUCUCAUUUUACACUCCUCAUAAGUGUAUUUUUUUUUUCAGAUAUAGAAAGUUUGAAGUGCUGAAUGAGAAAUGUGGAAUGCCAAUAACAAUUCCCAUAUUUUAAAUAAAAACUCUUUUCGUGUUGGUAUUAGUAACUUUACAUUGUUGUAUUCCUAAAUGAAGUACGAACUAAAUAAAAAAAUAUUAGAUUGGACUAAUAUGAGUUGUUACAAUUCAAUAGAGUAAUGAAAUUGAUUAAUGUAUAGAAAGUAAUUGAUACUUUUAAUUGACAAAUUAGAAAACGUGAAAGGUAGCUCCAGAGCAUGAACAAAAAGCAGCUUUGUUUUUUAGAUUUAUGACGUAGGUACAUUUAUCAUCAUUUGAUUUAUUUGACGGUCAAGAUUUAACAUUGUAAAAUCUAUCAAAAUACAUAGAAACGUGUUACAUGAAUCUUCUCAAAUCUUCCAAAAUCUUCCAAAAUCCAUAUGGAUUUGUAGAAGUCUACAUAAUCCUACGAAAUUCAUCCCUUAUCAAAUAUAUUAAAAUCAUUUCGAAACCUAAGUUGACUACACCCCCUAAAUCUAUAGAAUUGUGAAUUUAAUAAUCGUAUUAAUCUCACAAGAGUGUUAUAUAUACAGAUAUGUUAAGGUGCAAGACAACAAUACUUGUCAUAUAGGUAUACAAUCACAGAAUCAUAAUAGGAAUCCUAAACCUAUGAGAGACCGGAUUCUUUGGUGUCUGUUUUAACAAAAUCUAGUGCAUAAGGUUUAGAAUAUGUAAAUUGGCACGUUGCAAGUGAUUUUCUCACAAGUACUUUUAUGAAUAAGAAGGUUGAAAUUUUGCUAAAGUAAAAGUUUAAGCGCUUAUUGGAAAUCCACUUGCAAUUGCUUCCUCUGAAAGCACUUAUAAGUUCAACUGUUUUUGCCAAACUUGGUUAAAAGAGCUUUUGAUUUAUCUGAAAAGGCUUUGUAUAUAUAUCAAAGAGUCCCGUAGUUACUCACUGUUGGAUUUAAUUCAACGGUGGAGAAAAAAUACAAACAACAAAUCUACCGUUACCGUCGUAUUAGCAUCAAAUGGCAGAUGACCACAUCUUCAUUUGGAGAGUAAGAAAGGUGAAGUACAACUAAUUUAGGUUGUCCAUUAUAUGGUUUAGCCGAACUCUCCCUCUUCAUGUAAAAUACAUCUUUGAAACACUAUAUAACAUAACGUAGAGACAGGAGGAAGGUCGUAGUGGAUUUAAUUAUAUUUGUGCCGCCAUGGAAAAUAGACGUAGAUCCCAGUCGUCCGUUGGAGCCCCGGUCUCUGAAUAUGUCCACUCAAAACUAUCAAAAACAUCAACAUCAUCAGAAGUGAUGAGUGCUACUCAUAUUGCUGAUCUCCCCGAUGCUUUGUUGGCGGAAAUAAUUUCUCGGCUUCCAAGCAGUAGAUUCGUUUUUCAAUGCAAGUGCGUGUCCAAGCGUUGGCACACUCUCAUCUCGGAAUCUUAUUUCAUCGGCCGCUUUCUAGGUCUCCAAAUUGACAAGCAAACGCCGAUCAUACGCACUCUGAUAAGCGUGGAAGGAGAAGAUUUACUUUCGAGACUGACACCAUCGCCAUCAUCGUCGUCGUCAAAGGUGCUAACUCCGAUGUUUGAAAGACUCAAGAGUUUCCACGGAUUGAAAGAAGGUCCGUUUGUGGCAGGGACGUAUAAUGAUUUGGUUUUGUGCCGCGACCACAAAUAUUUCGCUCGUUCGUACUACAUAUGCAAUCCGCACACCUUGAGCUGGGUUGCGCUUCCUCCAGCCCCUACCCGAAGCAACAAGAUAGCACACGUGGGAUUCGUCUGCGAUAUGCCCUACUAUAACUACGAGGAAGGCGAUACAGAAGGACGACAUGUCGUGCGGCUUAAUGCUCAGUACAGGUGCAAGGUUGUUAGAAUUCUUCCUCCUAGUGAUGAGGAACUUACCUCCGAUAAGUUUUUAAUAGAGGUAUUCUCUUCUGAGACGGGAGAAUGGCGAGAGUCAUUAAUAUCAUGCCCGAGAAAACUCCAUCAUGUUAUGUUUGAUCGCUUCGGCUUUGCUUGCAACAGAAGGUUGUAUUGGUCGAAUUACGUUAAGGGCCGUCUUCUGGUUCUCGGGUUGGAUCUGUUCAACGACGAUAACAUCACUGUCACUAGUAAAGACGGCGGUGUUGACGGUGAAUGUCGUUUCAUUGUAUUCGAUAAGCCUAUGGAUGAACACUCCAUUCAGUGCCUAGGUGAUCAGUGUGGAGGGCGUCUGCAUAUGUAUGAGCUGGACAUUGUCGGGAGAAGUUUGUACGUUUGGGAGUUGAAAGAAGAAGAUAAUCAAGGAGAUGGGAAAUUAUGUUUGAGUGAACACAGGGUUUGUUCCUUGGACCCCGAAAUGUACCACGAUGAUGCAUAUCCACUUACAUUGGCAAGUGUGGACCCAAAUAACAAGGAUGUUUGGUAUCUGCGUGUGAAUCAAGAUAUUGUAAUGUGCAACAUUCAUACAAGGGAGUGGUCAACGAUAGCUGAAAAUAGUGCAAUUGUUACGAGCAUAUACUUCUUCCCGUAUGUGCCGUGGUGGCCGACACCCGUUCCUAGACUACCACAGCAGCGUGCUAAUCGGCUAGCCCGCGGAGAGGAAUUAGCCGCGAGCUAGGACAUAGGAAGAACAAAAGUACCGAUUUAUUUAGUAAAACUGAUAUAUGUUGUUCAGCAAUGGCAACUAGUUUCUUUCUGUGUUGUAUUUUUUUUCUUGUUUCGUUUUUGCUCCGCGGUCUCCUAUCUGUCUGUGACCACAUGUGUGAUUUGAAGUUUAAGUAAUAACAGCAGUUUACCGAGAAAAGCAGAAAAUCUCAGUAUUUAUCAAUGCAGGGAUGAUAUACAGAUAAACAAACACAAACCAUUGUGACCUCAAACCCAAACAACAUUCUCAGGAUGUUCAUGUUUGUGCACAGAUAAAAGCAGGAUGAUGCAAACAAGUCUUGCUUCAGUUUUUUGGUCAAUGGAAACUCCAUUACUUUUAUAGAGAGAGAUUUUUUAUGGUAUUGGUAAUGAAGUUGUCAUGCAACGGUUUUAAACAUGAAAACACAACAAGGGUUAUUGUAAAAUGUUGUAUGACAAACUUUAUGGAUUAGUAUAUAAGUAUUUUGUUUAGUACAUUUUUGAAUUUUAUAAUUUGUGACUUUAUUGUUUGAAGACCCCCCCCCCAAAAAAAAAAAAUUAUGUAGAUCUCUAGCUACAUCCCUGGCAAUACUACUUCGAGUUUGGUUGGUUAUUAAAAUUUUCAAUACCAACACCGGUUCCAACCGCAUAUGAACUAUCUUGUAAAUGUAUUUUCCAACACUCAAAUUAGGGGUGGGAAUCAAACUGACCAAAAGCGAACUUAAUCUUGAUUUUGAAUCAAUAAAAAAGUCAAAUAAUUGAAAGACUAAACCAAUUUCUUUUUAUUUGAGUCCGAUUUUCAUACUUUAAAACCCAACUAAAACCACACUGAAUCGAUCAUAUAUUUUUAUAUAAAUUGCAUUAAUCACAUUUAAAGUAAUGUCUGAUAUCCAAAUAAUGUGACAUAACUAUUGCAAGUGUAAGAGCAUCUCCAACGAACUCUCUCUAAAUGAAUUUCAGGCUUCUAGCAUUGAUCACUAAUAUUUUAAAUAAAAACUCUAUUCGAGUUGGUAGUAGUAACUUUAAAUAUGUAAUUUCGCUAAGGUAGGAACUAAACCAAAAAUGUGUAAUUUCGCCAAAGUAGAACAAUCUAACUAUGUAAACAAAGAUUUUGGUCAGAUUAGUUGCACCACGUAGCCCAAAAGUUGGAUGUGAGACCCUCGACGUCACCGUAGUACUCAGCGCUAAACCAACCACAUUGCUCCACGUAGCCCAAACUCAUUAAUCUCCCAAUAGACAGAAAGGAGCACAAGUCCUUGAAACGGUCAAUGCCCCAGGGAAUCCCCUCCAUUGCUUUCUUCUGAAUCCAUUUUCCGACACGAGUGUCUCGCACGUGUGAUAUUCUGUUAUGAAUUCAACCGUCUCCCGCCCUCUCUCUCUCUCAAACCAUUUCAGACUGCAACUUCUGCUUCGCGCUCUCUCUCUCUAAAACCAUUUCAGACCUUGGAGUUGGAGUUGAAAGCUUCAGGGGCCUGCAACAAUUCAGGUAAUUUAUCUCACCUCCAAAACCUUACAAACUGUUGAUUUUCCAAAUCGAAAGAAAAUUGAUUGCUGCUUGUUCGUUGUUUUUUUGGUAAUCCUCUGUGAAAUUGUUCUUGAUUUAGGUGAUAUACAGUUGGUACGCACAUGCAUGUGAUGUUUUGUUUGUGAGAUUCGAUGGAAAAUGAACUGCGAUUGAACUACCUGAUUUCUUGGAAAUUUAGUACUCAGUGGUCUGUUUGGCUGCCGAGAAAAUGGAGCGAAAGAAAUCGAUUACUACUAUAUACACAUAUGAUAAAACGAUCUAUGAAUGAAUUGCGUAAGUGCUUGGUAAUUCAGCAGUAACCAGAGAAUCUUUUGUGCUCUGUUUGGCUGCCGAGAAAAGGGAGCAAAAGAAAAAUGUUUACUACUAUCUUAAGCCGUUCCUUUUAUAGAUACGCAUUUGAUAAAGCGAUCUAUAAGUGAACUGCGUGAUUAAUUUCUUGGAAAUUGAUCAGUAAUCAGAGAAUCUUUGUGCUCUGUUUGGCUGCUGAGAAAAUGUAGGGAAAGUUAGGAAAAUUUUGGAUUUUUUUUUUUCCUUUUUUCCAUUUGUUAAUUCAGUAGUGCAGAAUGCCAAGUAACGCUGAACUGAUUAAAAUUUCAAUCUGUGAGCUAGUUAACAUGGCUGAAAACUUUGUCCGAUAUCUGUAUGCGUUUCUCAACGGAAACCCAAUAGGCGUGACCUGGGCGCAUGAUGGAAAUGGAUUCCAUCUGGACAUAUCCGAGGUUCCGCUAGAUGUGUUUCAAGGGCCUUUCCAGCGUUCGAUUGCAGGCUUUGAGAGCGAAGUGACGAGAUGGGUAAACUUUAGUUUUCUUUUUUGUUUUAAGUAGUUGAAUAUUGUCACUGCGUUAAACUGAGAGGAAACUGAAACUUUAGUUUUCUAACUUUUCAGGGUUUUGUGGUGGAAGGCAAUCAUUACAGGCACAGGGAUGAUCUCUUCCUGAGAGACCAGCCAGAGUUGGUCGAUGGUAUAGUUCGUGACCCUUCCCCAGCUGCUUCUCCUCCGGCUGGUGCAUCACCCCAGGCGGAUGCAGCAGCUGUCAUGCCUCCACUCCACGGUGCUCCUCCAGUUGCUGUCGUGCCUCCACUCCAUGGUGCUCCUCCAGUUGCUGCCGCUGCAGCAGUGCCACUCGCUAUUCUACCAGUUUGGGGGCGCAAAUCCCAGCGAGGUCCAAGAAUUCCACGAGCAGGAGCAUGGGGAUGGGCACCUUUUGAGUCGACUACUGCUAUUGCACCGGGUUGGGGAGUUCGCAUGGGCAGGACCCCAAGAUAUGAGGUCCCUUAGACCCCAUAUAUCGGAUGUGGUGAUGGCCCUAUCUUGCUCAAAUUGAUUACUGCUAUUACACUUCAGAAAUAUUUCUUGGUGUCAGUCGCUCAAUACAACCCCAAGCUUGCUGCUGAGAGGCAUUCUCUAAUAACGAAUCUGCUCGUAAUUCUUGAAUGGAAACACCACUUGAUACUGGUACUUGACUAUUUGUUGGAGGGAUAGGCAUUUGUACCACUACCAUAUCAUCUCUUACCCUCUUGGAUUGCUCAGAAUUAUUAUACUCUUGAGACAGUUCAGUUUUAUAUGGAAACACUUCUUCAUCGUGUAUUACAUGUCUUGACAAAAUCAACCUUCUAUUCUUCAAAUCAUUGCAUAUUGCUCCUUUAUACCCGAGGGCAUAGCCAAGAAAUACACACUGCGAAGAUCGAGCUUGGAGCCUGUUAACAGCUUAUGGUCUCAUCAAGGGAUAAAUGGCAGUCCCAAACACCUUAAAAUUAUGAAUCUCUGGAACUUUCCCAAACAAAAGCCGCUAUGGAGAUUUAAACUCCAAAUUCUUAGAUGGCAUUCUAUUAAUUAGUAAAACUGCAUAGGAACAAGCAUGAUACCAAAACAUUUGUGGCAAGUUUGCUUCUGUUAGUAAAGUUAUAGCAGUUUCCACUACAUGGCUAUGUCCCCUUUCAGAAAUACCGUUCUGCUGAGGAGUGUUUGGACAUGAAACCAUGUGUGAAAUGCCCUUGCUUGCUAGAAACUCCUCAAAAUUUUUACUCAUAUACUCACCUCCUCCAUCAGAUUGAAAGCAUUUAAUUGAAGCAUUAAACUGAUUAAACACAAAUGCAACAAACUUCACAAAAAUUGAACAACCAUCUGACUUCUUAAUUAUAGGAAAUAUCCACAUGAAUAUGGAAAAUUCAUCUACAAAGGUUAUGUAGUACUUAUACCCUUAUAUAGAUUUUACUGGAGAUGGCACUCAAUACAUUGUUUGUCACUCAAUUUGACCAACUUGUUUUUCCAAAAUUGCGAUUGCUCGAUUAUUUGCUUGCUUCCCUUGCGGAGGAAUUCGAUGCCCUUGAGUGAGCUUUUGUAAAAGUUGAGUGGUUGUUUGCUGACUGUAUAUUAGCUUGAACCAUCAAUGCAAAAAGCUUCUUCCAUGUACGUUUAUUGGGUUCCAAGGGUGUGGCUUCUUGUAUAAACUCUUAGAAUUGAGAAUUAGAAGGUCAAUGUUCCUUUGGCAUUGUUUCCAAGCCAUCAGGCAUGUGCCUACAAAAAGAAAAUUGAAAAUAGUGAAAAAAAAAACAGAAGAGGACUUUUUUUUUUUUUUUAGCACGAUGACAUAUUUUCACACUAAGGAGAGGGUGAGUUCAGCCAAGCAACUUAAUUUAGUAUCGAAUUUGCUUUCUACGAGAUUCGAACAAGAAUUUACAGGAAUAUUUGGAACAUUUCAUUUUUGCCUCUCACUUACAAAUGAAAAGGAAUAUCAUCAGACCGUAGUAAUAAAUGACAACAAAAGAAAGCUAGUUGAUUGAAAAGUAAUUAAACCAAAGACUACUACUCCUAAUAACUCACGAAGUUCAACACAAACAAAAAGACACCAAAUAACUAAAGGACUUCAAUUAGAAACUGAAUUGGACAAAAAAGAAGGUUACCGUGUUUUUUAUUUAAAUAAAACAGAAAAUAGAAAGAAAGAAAGAAUGAAUGAAUAAGGAAAAAAAAAGAACUACACAAACAAAAAUGGAAAACGGAAAAAUAAAAUUAAGUAAAGCACAAUUAAGAUUAAGGGGCAAUUCCUGGCAACGACGCCAACAACUUGAUGUAUAUUUAAACUAACCUAAAUAAUAGAUUAAUUUAAACCAAAUUAAAUUCGUAAGAGCACGAAUCAAUUGUAGUAAGAUAUGCAAAUAUAAGGUCGAUCUCACAUGUAUUGCUUUAACACCAAUUUAACCAACUAAUCACGCUAGACUUAAUUAAACAACAAAGGAUAAAUUGAAUUGAAUAAUUGAGUAAUUGAUUAAGACUAAAAUUAACAAGAAAAAAGAAAAGACAAUUAAUUAAAAUAAACAUACGACACAAGAAAACCUAUGGUUAUGAAUUCUCCAAUAAAAAUCCUAUUUACAUCUCCAAGAGCCAACUACUAUCCAAUUACCAUGUCAAUGUUAAAGGUUGUUCUUUUUAAUGUAUGAAUUAAUCUAUGGUCAGGCAUCAACUAUCUCUACGUGAUAAUUAUAUCUUAUUGGUUAGUGUAACAUCCUACAUCGCCCAGGGGAGUGGAUCAUGUAAGCCUUAUAUUCACAUCUCUACCUAGGUCGAUGCCUUUUGGGAGCUCAUUGGCUUCGGGUUCCAUCGGAAUUUCGAAGUUAAGCGAGUUUAUGCGAGAGCAAUCCCAUGAUGGGUGACCCACUGAGAAGUUCUCUUGUGAGUUCUUAGAAACAAAACCACUAGGGUGUGGUCAGGGUCCAAAGCAAUCAAUAUCGUGCUACGGCGGAGUUAAGCCCAUGAUGUGGUGGGGACCUUGGCCGGAAUGUGACAAUUUGGUAUAAGAGCCAAUCUUUGGCCGGAAGUGUGCCGACGAGGACUUCAGGCCCCUAAGGGGGUGUAUUGUAACAUCCCACAUCGCCCAGGAGAGUGGAUCAUGUAAGAUAUUCUCAUCUCUACCUAGCACGAGGCCUUUUGGGAGCUCAUUGCUUCGGGUUCCAUCGGAACUCCGAAGUUAAGCGAGUUCCUGCGAGAGCAAUCCCAUGAUGGGUGAUCCACUGGGAAGUUCUCGUGUGAGUUCCCAGAAACAAAACCAUGAGGUCGAGGUCGGGACCCAAAGCGGACAAUAUCGUGCUGCGGCGGAAUCAAGCCUGGGAUGUGAUGGGGGCCCGAGCUGGGAUAUGACAGUUAGACAUACAAAUUAACACAUAAAAACCUGUUAAGUGUAGAAGAAUCAUGUCAACCAAGUAGGACUAGCCUGAUAUUGGUCAUCCUCGCUAGUUUGUCUACUAUUCUUAAUCUUAAUUCCAAUAAACCUAAUUGAUUGGUCAUCCUCAUAAAUUUAUCUAUAUAUCUAUAUGAAAAAUUCCUAAAGGUGAUCAGUCAUUUGAAAUCUGAACCUAGAGUAAAAUACGCUCAAAGAUUUGAAAUCCCGUAAGACAUCCUUUAAAGCAAUUUUUUUUGUCGGAACAUUUAAAGCAAUUAAAUAAAUAAAUUACCACAUUUUACGGGAUAUAAAUUCCCAUAAGAUUUGAAAUUUAACGUUUAUGGGAUUAAACAACAAAAUCCACCCUUAGAAAACCUUAAACCAAUGAAAAAUUGGUGAUUAAAAUGUGGAAAAUAAGUUAUGAAAAGAAUUGUAUUUUUUAUUGAAUGAAAAUAGUAGUUGCAAAUUAAUAAGAUAAAAUGUCAUGAUAAAAGAUAAAUGUUCCCAUAAGAAUGUACCCAUGUACAAUUAUAGUAAUUCAUAAAAAUGUAACCAUAUACAAUUUCAACAUUAAAAUCAUAUGUACCCAAUGAAAUUAAAAUUGCGUUCAUAGCAAUAUAAUGGCCAUUGGUUAUGGUUUUGCAAUAUAAUGGUCAUUUGUUAGAAUUUUGCAAUAUAAUGGUCAUGGAGAAAAAUAAGUUCGAAAAUUUUUUUGGCAAAAUUUAAUUUUGGAGAUACAUAUUCAAUUUAAUAAUGUUGAAUUUGAAUACAAAGAAUUUUGAGAUUUUCAGCUACAAAUGUUAUUCAACCUUUUGAAUGGAUAAUCUAUGUGCGAGAAAUUAUAAAUUAAAUUUUGUUGUAAAAAAAAAAAAAAAGGAAAAGGUUUUUUAGCCAAAAUGGUCCCUGAGAUUUUGCAUAACAAAUCACUUUGGUCCCUGAGAUUGAAAAUCAAUAGGAAUGGUCCCUGAGAUUGUCCAUCAUCCAUUAUUUUGGUCAUUCUGUUAAAAACUCCGUUAAGUGUGCAAGAGCUCUUGGCCGAAAGUUUAGGCAAUUUUCAAAGCUUCGUAACUCAAUCGUUUAUUAAUCAAAUUCGACCCAUAAUAUAUUAAAAUGAAGAUAGGAAAGUGUAGAACAAGAUUACACCUGUUUGGAAGCCCAAUGGUUGCCAUAGAUGGCCGGAAAACAGCCUGAAAAGUGACUGGUCUGAGGGAAAACUGGAAAACUCGCCGGAAACUGGGUAAAUUUUAAACGUUUAUAACUUCUUCAAUACACAACGAAAUCAAGUGAUUAAAAAAAAAAUCAUACUUCUCGAUGAGAUAAAGAGAAUGGUACCUUUCUCGACUGCUAAAUCGUUGUGGUUUGGUCGGAAAACGGGUCGAAAGUGGCUAUCUUGGUCUCUAGUUAGCCACUUUUGAGCCAUUUUCCGGCCAAACAACGGAGAAUUAGCCAUCAAGAAAGGUAUCAUUCUCUUCGUCUCAUUGAGAAGUAUGAUUUUCGUUUUGAAUCACUCGAUUUCGUUGAGUAUUGAAGAAGUUAUGAAUAUUUAAAGUUUACCCAGUUUCCGGCGAGUUUUUCAGUUUUCCAACGGACUAGUCACCUUUAGGCUAUUUUCCAGCCAUCUCCGGCAACCAUUGGGCUUCUAAAUGGUAAAACUUGCUCUACAUUUUCUUAUCUUCAUUUUGAUAUAUUCUGGGUCGAAUUUGGUUAAGAAAAGAUUAAGUUACGAAGCUUUGAAAAUUGCCCCAACUUUCGGUCAAGAGCUCCGGAACACUUAACAGAGUUUUUAACGGAAGAACCAAAAUAAUGGAUGGUGGACAAUCUCAAGGACCAAAGUGAUGUGUUAUGUAAAUUUCAGUGACCAUUUUGGCUAAAAAGCCAAAAAAUAAAAUAAAAAAGAUAACAUGGAAGUGUGUUAUUAGUAUAAUGCUGAGGUGUACAAAGUCAAAAGACUUUGAUAAAAAAACUAAAAACCAAUAAGGUUUUAGUCUAUGAAAUUGAUGACUAAGGACUGGAUCCUAAUUUUUCCAUAAAACAAACUCCUAAACAAUUAAUAAAACAAACUAUGAAAGACGUCAUCUGACUUGCACGCCAGUUUUUAGAGUGCAUGAACACAGUCUGUAAACAAAGUGGAAUAAUACGAUUAGUUGAAAUCUUGAAAAAAGAUUUAUAAUCAAUUGUAUUAUAUGCACUUAGUGUAGUGUAGCAUACGUGUUUUUGGUUUUCUUCACAUUGUUGAGAAGCGGGAGGAUAUUUAAAUAAAUUUAUUACAUAUUAUGUGAUCAUAUGAACCAUGCGUCAAUAUAAUUCCAUUUGUCAAAAAAUUAUGAGCUUAAACUCCCAAUUGAAUCACCGACGCAAGCAAAAAUGAUAUUCACACACUCGUUUUUCGUUUUGCACUUCUCUUCAUGGCAGUGUUAUGAUUCUUAUUUGAUUUGUUCGAUCAAAGAUCAAAGCAAGAAAGCAGUAUAUGAAUAACAUGGAGUGGGAUAAUUAUUUACCUAAAUCAAAUUUGUUCUCCGACAAAUAAUGGAGUGGUGAGGCUGAACAUUAUAAAUUUGUGAACGAUCAAAAAAAAAAAAAAAUCACACAGCUUAGGGCUCGUUUGAAAGUACUGUUAAAUGAUUGAAAGCCUUUUUUAUUAAAAUAAAACAAAUAUGUAGUUAUGUGUUUUUUUACAAGAAGCACUUCAAAUGAUUUUAGAAUCCAAAAACAUUUUUUCUAAAAAUGGUUUCAAUCAUUUUAAAAGUAGCAAACAAACUAUUAGGUUUUCGAAGUAAAGAAGGUUCUUCCUUAACUGGCAAUGACGGUUAGAUACGUACCAAAAUCCCGUUAAAUCUAUGAACUGAAUUUUAUUUUUUUUGCACAUACGUCAAAAUCAAUUUUGUGUGCGAGGAAAAAUAAUCACCUUACAUGUAAGGAACCAAGUAUUUUCCGAGCAAAAAUAACUCGAAAACAAAGCAUAUAAUGCUCCAUCCAUAUCCCAAACUUCAUGUAAAUCAUCAUAAUUUUAAGACUACCAUAAAUUAAGGCUAAAAACUCAUGUCCAAGCAUUCCACCUCUUAAAAUAGUACAAAAGAUAAAACUCCAACUGGUAGAAGUAAACUAGGUUAAAUGAUACAAACACCUACCAUCAUACAUCUUCCCGGCGGCCAACUUCCCGUCCAUCGCUCGUGACGGUGGAAGAGACCUACGAUCUAAUAUUCCAUUCUGACAAGUGCAGUGGACGCGUCGGCUGAUCCAUACUGCAUCCAGUCCUUGGCACAUAUGAGGGCUUCCACCGUCUCUGGUCGUAGGGAAGUCCUGUACUGAUCCAUUUCCUUGACCGUUGUAUCAAAGACACAGUCGGAAGGAACUGUAGAUACCGGAAUUGACAAAAUGUCACGAGCCAUCUUUGAAAGCGUCGGGUACUUCAUCUUGUUCAGUUUCCACCAGCCUAAUACAUCAAAGUCAUGAACUCGGGGCAGCAGAGACUCGUCCAAAUACUGAUCCAGCUCCGACUUCAUCUGUUGGCUGGUUGUCUCCAUGAUGUACAUGUCAAAGUCCGUGAGUCCGUUGUCUGUUAGAUUAGCUCCACCUUGGGAAUCCUCUGUCUUAACGUAGUUAUUCCCUUCGUCUGCAUAAGUUGGUGUGAGAGGCAAAGGCAGUGUCAAAUAUUCAUGAAAGAGCUCAUGAAUUCCGUCAUCGACAACCUUGAUAUGCGUGGGAGCUUCUUCACCAUAAACUUUGUUGAAACUGAACUCAACAAGCUUCAUCUUGAACCUGGGAUCCAUAACUACCGCUGUUGCCAAAGCCAGGCUACAAUUCUUCCAGUAUUUUUCAACCCUUUCUUGCAUUGUCUUAGUUAGGCUGCUAAUGAAGGGAUCCUCACUUGCAACCGUCUUAGUCAGAUCUGUCUGAAUCCUCCACACUUCAUGGAAGAAAGUAACUGGAGUUGGGUUAGUCGUAGUGGUAAGGAUGUUGGCUGCAUCGAAGAUAAGUUUCAAAAAUGUGCAGAUAGUCUCAACUUGCUUCCAGUCUUCCAUUGACGGGGCUUGUUUGUAAUCAGGAUCAGAUGUAUCCAAGCAAGAAAACACUUCCUUUAACUCAUAACAGGCCACCAGCAUUUGAUACGUUGUGUUCCAUUUAGUCUGGUCAUCAAUUGAUAGGCUCCUUUCACUUGGGACUUGGAGCUGACUCUUAAGCUCCAGAAACUUUUCUUCAUGGGACUCUGAUGUCUUCACAUACUUUACACUAUCCCGUACUUUUUUGACCACAUCACUUCCUGCCGCUAACACUUCUUUUGCAAUGCUGCUCAAAGUACGGGCAAUGCAAUGCCCAACCAAUAGUUGACCAUUGAGGAUAAGUGGGUUCUUAUUUGAAAGAAGAGGCCUUAGAUUUUCAAGAGCAGUCUCACUCAGUGGCUGAUCAUAAGUGACUGAAAAUAACUUGUUUUCCAAACUCCAAUCAUGAAGGCAAACAGCAACAGCAUGACUAAGAGCAGAAUCAGAGUCUGGAUAUGGUUGCAUCACCACAUUGAGCAGCCGCCUGUGCAACUUCCAGUCAGCAUCAAUGAAGUGCCCAGUAACAAACACAUAACCCACGCUCUGAGAGGAAGUCCACAUGUCCAAAGUAAGGCAUACACGUCCAGGUAUGCCCUCAAUAAACUUGGUGACACUUUGCUUUUCCGUUAGGUAAGUUGCCCUCAAUAAACGUGGGUUACAUAUAUGUUUUCAAGCAGGAUGCAUUAUACAAAAUUUUAUUGGGAAUGUACUUACAGAUUUAUUUCUCAAGACUUCGGCGGCCUCUUGACGGUUCCACAACCUACUCCAUUUUCCAGGGUGACCAAGAGAUUUUUCAGAAAUGAUUACUCUAGCCAUUUCUCGCAGCAAAUCAUGCUUAUUCAACUUAUUCUGCUCAACAGUUAUAAGGCAUCGUUCACAGAGGACACUAAUUCCUAUUGUUGCAGAAAAUCCGCAUUUAUCUAAUCUUUUUGCGACAUAGUCCUUGUCCUCUCCAAUAAAGAAACAAGAUAUGUCAAGAAAUAUAGCCUUCUCUGAACGACAUAGCCCGUCAAAGCUUAUUCUAAGUCGAUUUACAAUGUUUUCAUCUGGAUAUCUUCCCAAUUCCUCCAAUUGGCUUUCCCACUCUGCCAACGAUCUUUUAAUCAAAAGAGAUCCUAAAACUUCAAGCGAGAGUGGUAAACCUCCACAGUAAGAAACAACCUUUUCUGAAACUUCAAGGUAUCCUUGAUCAGGACAACUAUUUUUAAAGGCAUGCCAACUAAAUAGCUCAAGAGCUUCUUCUUCAUUCAUUUUCUUAGCCUGAAAUUUUUUGUUCACAUUUAGUAGUAGACGUUCAUCUCGUGUCGUUAUAAUAAUUCUACUUCCAAGACCAAACCAAUCAUGACUUCCAACUAUUGCAUCCAGUUGUUCCUCUUUAUCAAUGUUGUCCACGAUGACAAGUAUCUUUCUAUGUCGAAAUUGUUGUUUUAUCAGACCUAUACCUUCGUCAACAUAGCUUAUUUCAGGCUUCUUUUUCAAGAUGUCAGAAAUAAGUUUUUUUUGCACAUCAACCAGAUCAUGUUUACUUGUAGCAUCGCGAACGUCGGCAAGGAAACUUUUGAAUUCAAACUGAGGAUGAAUUUGGUUAUAAAUGGCUUUGGCAGCUGUUGUUUUACCCAAUCCACCCAUCCCCCAAAUUCCAACCAUAAGAACAUCAUUUGAUCCACCACUUGAAAGACAACUGAUAAUAUCUUGAACGCGUGAAUUGAUUCCAACUAUGUGCUUGGCCACAUGUAAUUUGUUAGUGCUGGUGAGCCAUUGACAAAUAGUUUCGUCAAUAAUUUUUUUAAUGAACUUUGCUCGCCCCUGAAAAUUGAAUUCGUAAGCAUUAGUGGAAAUCAAUGAAGGCUCGGUAGGAGAUAUCAGUACAUAUACAAUUUUCUUUCCUUCUUCCCUUCAUAUAAUAUAAUAUAUAUAUAUAUAUAUAUAUAUAUAUAUAUAUAUAUAUAUAUAUAUAUAUAUAUAUAUAUAAAGAACUUGAAUAAAAGAAUUCAUUGAUAAAUAAAAGUUAGGCGUAUGAAUUAAACUCCAAUUACGGUUUAGGUUACUUAUGAGAGAUUAAGGUGUAUUCAUUAAGCAUGUGAAUGAAUGUUUAGAUUAUGUAAAAUGUUAAUUAAGCAUGUCAAUUAAUUCAGAGAUUAAGUCAAUCACUAAAAUUAGCAGCUUAUGUGAAGGAUCAACUUGAGAGAUUAAGGUGUAUUAAUUAAGCAUGUUAAUUAGAAUAAUACAACUCAAAUCUUGAAAAGCAGCUGAAUGAUUACCCAUUGUUAGCGAUUUUAUGAUGGUGGCCAGACAAAUUUGCAGCCUUUGUGAGAGCCUCUCUCCACUGCUACCCUUUCUUGUUUAGCUUCACGUUUCUUGUCAUCUUUUUCUUCACGGAUGUCCUUUUUGUGCUUCUGAAAUGCUUCGGUUAAAUCUCCGUCCUGCUUCCUGACAUGCGAAGGAUCAACGUGAUAGAAUAUUGGUAAAACAUGUCGCCCCAGUUUGUCUCUACACUCCAUGAUCUUCACCAGCUCGUCAAGACACCAACUCGAAUCCGCAUACAUCUUUGAGAAGAUAAUGACAGAGAUCCUCGACUCUUCGAUUGCACGAAACAGUUUCUCUUUUAUUUCUUCCCCUCUUGGUAGAUCGUCCUCAUCAAUAAACACCUGGUACCCUCUGGCUUCUAAUGCCGCGUGGAGGUGGCUCGUGAAGCCAUAGCGCGUGUCUUCACCCCUGAAGCUCAAGAAUACGUCGUACUAAAUAAUACACUAUUAUGGUACAAAAAUAAGAAAGCUGAGCCGAAUCAAAUAGCUUGGGUAAGAGAAGUUACUAAAUUCCGUGUGGAGGAUUUUCGAGGAAUUCGAGUAGUCGGCAGCUUUGGAAACUUUGGCUCACAGAUGGCCACAGUGAGGUAGCAGCUGUGGAGUACUCUCAUAUCCCAGCACCACUCAUAUACAAUGAAUUUGGAAGUUUUAGGAGAGAGAAAGAGACCUGCACUUGAAAAAAAUAUUAUCUCCUUCUUCAACUUGCAACUAACAAACAAAAAAAAUCACUUUAAUGGCCCGUUUAUGUAAGGGUAAUCAGAAUCAGGAAACGGAAUUGAAUUCCGAUUACGGAAUACUUUACCAAAUUUAAGGAAAUCAAAGUUUAGUGGUCCCACACAAAUUUUGGAAUCCAAUUCCGAAAUUUGGAGGAAUUAGACUCCUAACAAUUAGAUGGUAUUUGGAUUCCGGAGGAUUGAGGCGGUGAGGAAUCCAUUUUUGUUACCCAUUGUGCCCUCGCAUAAAAGUUGAAAUUCCAAAUAAACCCAAGCUCUCGUCCCCAGUGUUAUCCCUCUCCUUCUCCCUCACCAAACAACAGCAAACCCAAAACCAAUUUAAAGAAAAAUCUGAACAGAAUCGACAGCUCAUACAAAUGAAAAGGAUUGAGAGGAACUCACUCAACAUGAAAGUAUUCUAAACGAAAAAAAUGGGAAACUGAUUCAGAAGCUGGCAUCAAAAUUCGAGGAAACCCAUGUACUUGGAUAAUUCCAAUGAUGGAUGAUCAGAUGAGAGAAGCACGUACCUCAAUCAAACAAAAUCGAGGGUAGCAAUCGGAUUGAGGAAGAUCGAAUGGAAUCGAGGACGCAAGAAACAAAGACCUCUUCUUCCUCUCAGUCUCCAAGUCGUCCUUUCUUCAGUCUCUCUCUUACUUUCCUUUUUCUUUUUCUGUUUUCCUAUUUUUCAAUAAUAUGUAGCGCACUUUUAAAUUUGUGUCGUGUUGAGGCAAGUAUAUAACAUAUACACAUCCAAUAACUUUAUAUGAACGUAAUUUAUUUAUGUAAGAGCAAUAUAGUAAUCAACCUAUUUUUCAUUCCUUAAUUAUGGAGGAAUGGGGGAGUUUGGCGGAAGUGAGUCCUGCUAGCAUUUCGUUUUCAAUCCUCUUAUUUCAUCUGCAAUGUCAACUGGCUAAAUUGAUCAGCUAAUCGUUCAAUAUCCCUCCCUGUCAAAGAUAAUCGCUUCCGCGUCCACAAGAUUUUGGUAGUACUUAAGUAAAUGUUUUCAAGGCCUGCAAAGCAGUACGCCUGGUAUAAUUAAUAACAGUAAUUUCAAGAGGAUCUUUAGGUUGUUCAUUUAACGAGUAAAUACAUCAGACAACCACCUAUUUAAAAUUACGAUCAUCACUUUUAAGCAUAACAAAGUCGGCUACAUUCACCUAAUAAGCAAACUCAAACAACUCAAGAAUACUAUAAAUCCAAUUGAGAUAAAUGUCACCGUAUCCGCAAGAAGUCCAUCCUUAUACAUGUUGAAGAGUACAAGGAUCUCACAUCAGAUUUGUUAAAAUUAAAGAUGAAUUAUAUUGUGCAAUUUCCACUCUUAAUUAUAUCAAAGUAUUUUGUGAUAAAAUAUUCACAUAUGAAGUGUUGUGCAUGUACGAAAAUUCAAGUUGAUAGAAAGUAUUGAUGUUGUUAAUGAUGGGUCAUUGUAGAGCAUGCGAUAAAAUUUUCAAAGCUGUUAUAUCAAAGCCGUUUGUAUAACGUUAAUAGAUGAGCCCUUAACUUAUAUGUUAGCUACCAUUAGCUAGUAAACAUUACUAUACCAACAAGCCACCAAAGUCUAUGUGCUAUAUUAUAAAUAAAACUGGUCUCUAUGAAAAAAAAACACUUUGUAAAACGGAUAAGCACUUUACAAACCACUUCUGUUUGUCACUUUUCUUUUCUAAAAGCCAUUUUUGUAUAUAAGCACUUUGGUUUGGCCUGACAGGUUCCAGAUGUGCUUCAAGGGAAUGUGUUUUUGGCUGGGAAUUGAGCAAGGUAAGGAAAUAUCUGUUUAUGACGCUUUUGAUGACCCAGAAGGCAGGAGAGUGAUCAUUUCUUUCGAUACAAGUCGCGAGAUAUUUCAUGGUAUACCCGAACCAUCUGAGCUCCAACGAUUACCCCUGGGGCGUGACCUUGAUUUGAAGCUUAUUGUGUGGAAUGAAUCAGUUUCUUAUGGUUCACAAUGAUGGAUGCGUAGUUUGCUUUAAUCUUUGUACGAAAAAGCUUACAUAUAUUCCCACUGAAACAUGAGGUGAGUUUGUUGGUUAUGUGAAUAGCGUAGUUUCGGUCAUGAGACGCAACCACAAGCCUGAGAGCAAAGAAAAUAAUUGCUUAGACAAAGAUGAAGAUGCGAUGGUGGCGGUAGAAGGCAAGAGGGAAAGCUGCAGGAGGCGGUACUCAUAUUCUGUUUGGGCCAUUCCACUAGCUGAUGUUUCAAGGGCCUCCGGGCAGAGUUUGGUGGGCCGGAGAUUAGCCUCACAUCCUUAUAUUGGGAUCCAUCCAUAUUAUGAGUCGCGAUGACGCUCUUAACAAGUUUAGAUCUUCCUCACUGAUGAUUACGAGGAAUUACCAUCACCAGUGUGUUUCCUUGUUGAUGGAUUGAAACGUAUAUAUUUUCCCGAUCGCUUGCUAAUUGCUAUUCAUUUUCUUCAUGUUUUCUUCUGUUUUGUUUCCUUUUCCUCUUUCUCAUUUUGGUUUCUUGAGCUGGUUUAGACGCACUAAUUAUCAACUUUUAUGUUAUUAGUUAUUUCAAAGUACCAAAUCUACAUUUCGAUUUCUACUCCAGUAAGUUGUUGUUUACGUUAACCUUUGAGCUGGUGUUUUUUUGUUUUCACAAAAGCUUCCUUCUUAAUUUCUUCUUGUUGUUUACGGGAAUGUUCAUAUGUAAUCUGUCUGUCUGCAAUAUUUGAUGGAUGCAGGUUCAACGAAACAUAAUUAUAUAAGAUCCUGCCAAAAUUAGAUCACCUUCAACUUUAUCCCUGCCUUGCAAAUUGAGCUUCAGAACACGAGUUGGAUUGCAAAUGAUGGCAAAAUGUUUUAAAGCGGAUAAAAUUUUGGAGAUUUUCUAUUGAGAAAUCCAUCCUUAGUCUUGCGGAGGAGAUUUUUUAUCCUAACGUGAACAGCCCUACAAUUUAUUCAACUCUCAUAGUCUCACUAUCUCUAAAUGGUAAAGGCUAAGAGACUCAGGUGUCGAGCUGAAUGUUACCUGAACAAGUAGAUGAUGAAUAAUCAAGAGACAAAGAGAGGCGUGUAAGAGGAUCUUCGUCCAUUGGGUCGGAUAUCUGAUCUCCUCUAUCACAGACUGCCGGACCUUGUGGCUUCCAAUGAUGAAUAGAUAAAGAAAGACACGUACGAAGAUCUUCGUCCAUUGGGUCGGAUAUCUGAUAUCCUCUGUCACUGACUGCUGGACCCUGUGGCUUCCAAUGAUGAGACUGAGAAAGGCGCGUAAGAAAAUCUUCCUCCAUUGGGUCGGCUAUCUGAUCUCCUCUGUCAUUGACUGCCGAACCCUGUGACUGGAAGAAUACUGAGAGAUUCCCAGAACGAGUUUGAGGCUGAAUAUGAUGGCCUGCAGGAAAAGGAUUAGAAGAUAAGGAAAAAUGUGAAUGCUCAGAGAACCAUGAUCAUGCACUGCUAUAGUACUACCGAUGUACUUGCUGAGAUCAUAAUCAUCUGAUGACUCCUCAUAGAACCGAGCUGGAUGUUAGUCAAAAACAUAACUAGCUUUGUCCAAAUCAUGCGUAUUUUCCUUCAAAGGUUUGUUCCACACCAGAUUAACCAUUGUUCUCACUGAUGAUGGCAAAUAAUUACCAGAUUUUCUUGAAAAUAUGACUUCAACUUUAUCCCCACUUUGCAAUUUGAACUUAUCGUUCGAUAGUUGUCCUUGCCAAAGUACAAGCGUAUCCCAAAAUUCGCUGCAUAAGUAAGCCUGCAACUCGGUACGCUUGGUAUUAUUUAUAACAGUAAUGCCAAAUUCAAAAUAAUUCAUAAUUGAAUAUUUGCUCCAGAAGCACAGAGUCAUCCCUUCAAAAGUACGACCAUCAUUCGGGGGAAUAUCAAAACUGAAUGUAUUGCCAUGGUUAAGAAACUCAAACCAAUCAGGAACAAAAUUCCCAUGGAGUAAAGCGCCACCAAAUCCGCACGAAGUCCAUCCCUACAUAUACAAUGCAAGUGUCAUGUAUAUAUACAUGUAAACAUGCGUAUGCGUGUGCAUGUGCACGAUAGGAAGGCAAUGAGAGAGAGAGAGAGAGAGUGUGAGAUACCUGUAGGAUGUUCUUCCCAAAAUCAGAUGUGAGAUUGGUGCAGUUAAUUACUCAUAUCAAUCAACGUCAUGAAGUUUAAUGACUUAUCCAAGCCUGGAACCUCAGUGAGUUUGGGUGAAUCACUUACCUUCAACUCUGUCAUAUUUGACAUUUCCGAAAAAUUGGGCAUUGUUUCCAAUGCAGGACAAUGAAGGGCAUACAGAAAUUUCAAAUUUGUUGGUAAAUCUGGGAUUGUACGAAGGUUAAAGCAGUCAUUUAACCUCAAUGUUUCAAGCUUUGUAAGACCACUGAGGCCGGGUAGGGUAUGAAAAUCAGUCCCUUGAAGAUCCAAAACUUGUAAAGAAAUUAGACUCCCAAGAUACUCAGGGAUUGCAUCAUGUGCAAAAUGCACACCAUUUAGGGAUAAAAGAGUGAGAUUCUUCAAUCUAAUUGUGGAAGAUGGUAUUUGUCUUAUGACUGUAUAGUCUGCUUCAAGUAUUCUCAAUGAUAUCAUCUCCCCUAAAUCCUUAUGCACUUCUCUGAAACUUGUACACCAAUUAAGAAGAAGAGUCUCAACAGAUUUCAACUUAUAGAAAUCCCUUGGAAGAGAACUAAGCUUUUUGCAUUCUUUAAGGUUCACCAAAGAAAGUUUUUGAAGUUGACCAAUGGAGGGGUGAAUCUCGGACAGACUCCCACAAUCUUCCAGUAUCAACUCUUCAAGAUUUGGGACUUGUGAAAAGUCCGGUGAUUUAAUUAGAGAUAGGGAAUGACUGAGAUUCAGAAUUUUCAACCUCUCUAGCAACUGUUACAGAAGACCAAAGGAAAAUUGAAAUUAAUAUCCAAAAGGAAGAUGUCACAAAAAAAGAAGGAAAUCCAAAAACAAAUAGAAACAGAACAUCAUCAUGUGUAAUUGAUCGUACCUUAUAACCCUCCCAAACUUGUACCAGUUUGCUGUACUGCAUAUCUAAAACAACUAGUCUUGGUUGAUCAAAAAAGUCAGCUGGUAUGGACUUUAAAGAGCUUCCUACCCAACACAACCAUAUUAUAUCCUUGGGAAGAUGCUUGUAUUCUCCAUUAAGCUGUACCCAAUAUAGCCAGAGCAAUCGCAAUUUCUUCAUAUUGGCAAAUGCUUCUAUACUGUAACUAAGUUUGCCAUAAGAGAUACUUAGAGCAAGUCCUUCAACUUCUUCAGUUCCCUGUUAACAAAAGGUUAUAUUCAUGUGUAAGAAAUGGAUUAUUUGCAUAUAUUUACAUGUAUUAUUAUUCAUUAGGCAAAAUCACCUACGGUGAUUAUAUUUACACAUAAAUGUUGUUUAGUGUAUAAUAGACAUACGUGGGUUAUAUAUAUGUUUUCAAGCAGGAUGCAUUAUGCAAAAUUUUAUUAGGAAUGUACUUACAGAUUUAUUUCUCAAGACUUUGACGGCCUCUUGACGGUUCCACAACCUACUCCACUUUUCAGGGUGAUCAAGAGAUUUUUCAGAAAUGAUUACUCUGGCCAUUUCUCGAAGCAAAUCAUGCAUAUUCAACUUGUUGCCUUCAACAGUUACAAGACAUCGUUCACGGAGGACAUUGAUUCCUAUUGUUCCAAAAAAUCCGCAUCGAUCUAACAUUUUUGCGACAUAGUCCUUGUUCUUUCCAAUAAAGAAACAAGAUAUGUCAAGAAAUAUAGCCUUCUCUGAAUCAUCUAACCCGUCAUAGCUUAUUCUGAGUCGAUUUACAAUUUUUCCAUCUGGAUAUCUUCCUAAUUUCUCCAGUUGACUUUCCCACUCUGCCAAUGAUCUUUUAAUCAAAAGAGAUCCUAAAACUUCAAGCGCUAGUGGUAAACCUCCACAGUAAGAAACAACCUUUUCUGAAACUUCAAGAUAUCCUUGAUCAGGACAACUAUUUUUAAAGGCAUGCCAACUAAAUAGCUCAAGAGCUUCUUCUUUAUUCAUUUUCUUAGCCUGACAUGCUCUGUCCACAUUUAGUAGUAGACGUUCAUCUCGUGUCGUUAUGAUAAUUCUACUUCCAGGACCAAACCAAUCAUGACUUCCAACUAUUGCAUCCAGUUGUUCCACUUUAUCUAUGUUGUCCACGAUGACAAGUAUCUUUCUACGUCGAAAUUGGUGUUUUAUCAGACCGAUACCUUCUGCAACACAGCUUAUUUUAUGCUUUUUUUUCAAGAUGUCAUAAAUAAGUUUUUUUUGCAAAUCAACCAGAUCAUGUUUACUUGUAGCAUCGCGAACGUCAGCAAGGAAACUUUUGAAUUCAAACUGAGGAUGAAUUUGGUUAUAAAUGGCUUUGGCAGCUGUUGUUUUACCCAAUCCACCCAUCCCCCAAAUUCCAACCAUGAGAACAUCAUUUGAUCCACCACUUGAAAGAUAUCUGAUAAUACCUUGAACGCGUGAAUUGAUUCCAACUAUGUGCUUGGCCACAUGUAAUUCGUUAGUGCCGGUGAGCCAUUCACAAAUAUUCUCGUCAAUAAUUUUCUUAAUGAACUCUGCUUCGCCCCUGAAAAUUGAAUUUGUAAUCAUUAGUGGGAAUCAAUGAAGGCUCGGUAGUACAUAAACAAUUUUCUUUCCUUCUUCCCUUCAUAUAAUAUAUAUAUAUAUAUAUAACGAACUUGAAUAAAAGAAUUCAUUGAUAAAUAAAAGUUAGGCGUAUGAUUUAAACUCCAAUUACGGUUUAGGUUACUUACGAGAGAUUAAGGUGUAUUCAUUAAGCAUGUGAAUGAAUGUUUAGAUUAUGCAAAAAGUUAAUUAAGCAUGUCAAUAAAUUGAGAGAUUAAAUCAUUCACUAAAAUUAGCAGUUCUGUGAAGGAUCAACUUGAGAGAUUAAGGUUAAGCAUGUUAAUUAGAGUAAUACAACUCAAAUCUUGAAAAGCAGCUGAAUGAUUACCCAUUGUUAGCGAUUUUAUGAUGGUGGCCAGACAAAUUUGCAGCCUUUGUGAGAGCCUCUCUCCACUGCUUUAGCCUUUCUUGUUUAGCUUCACGUUUGUUGUCAUCUUUUUCUUUACUGAUGUCAUUUUCGUGCUUCUGAAAUGCUUCGGCUAAAUCUCCGUCCUGCUUCCUGACAUGCGAAAGAUCAACGUGAUAGAAUAUUGGCAAAACAUGUCGCCCCAGUUUGUAUCUGCACUCCAUGAUCUUCACCAGCUCGUCAAGACACCAACUCGAAUCCGCAUACAUCUUUGAGAAGAUAAUGACAGAGAUCCUCGACUCUUCGAUUGCACGAAACAGUUUCUCUUUUAUUUCUUCCCCUGUUGGUAGAUCGUCCUCAUCAAUAAAGACCCGGUACCCUCUGGCUUCUAAUGCCGCGUGGAGGUGGCUCGUGAAGCCAUAGCGCGUGUCUUCACCCCUGAAGCUCAAGAAUACGUCGUAGUUCCAGAGUUUGGACUUGGAGGAGGACGAAGAGGAGGCUUCGUGGGCUGUCAUGGCGGUAUCCACCGUUAUGGCUUAGCAGUGGUUCAGAUCACAGACUGAAAAAAUGGCGACAGCUGUGUUUGAGUUGCCGAAGGAUGAUAAUUAAACAUAAAUCAAGAUUCUUGAGUCAACAAAGGCAAAAGUUUAUAAUAUAAUAUAAAUGGUGCAGGGAAAGAGAGAGGAAAAGAGGAAAUAAAUAAAACUCUGCAAUUGAAAAAAAUAUAUAUAUAUUAUCUCCUUCUGCAUCUUGCAACAAAAAAAACAAAAAGAUCACAUUAAACAUAUUCCAGUAGAAAACCCCAUCACAGCAGUAGCAAGUUUAGGAGAGAGAAGGAGACCUGCACUCAAAUCGUAGGUUCGCCCGAGAAAUUUUCCAAUUCAGAAUCCAGAUCGUGGGUGGUCGAGAAUUUUCAAGGGAUUUUUGUAACUUGGAAGCCAUCUUUUUCAAUUUCAUAGCAGGAGGGCGGACUGAAAUGUAGGGGGGAGGAGUUGGAGGGAAAAGUACUUUGGUGUUCUUGGAUUUAUCGUGAUGGAGGAAGAGGAAGGGAAGGGUGACAGAGAGAGAGAAUAAAAUUAUUUUUAAUGGUAUGUUUUUUAUGAAAUUAACAAUGAGGCCCAGCUCACCAUUAAUUAUGGAGGCCAAUCCGUGAGAGAAUCUUCGCCGGAUCUUUUUGUGAAGAUUCUGUGAUCUUUCAUCAAUAUCCGUCCAUCGUAUAUUAUGCGGUCAGUUUUCAUCAGGUACUGUUUAUUUUCAAUUUUAAAUAAAAAAAUUUACAAUGAUUUCUAAUCACACGAUAUACAAUAAAUGAAUAUAAUUUGAGGAUCUUAAAAAUUCUCACAAAGAAUAUCCGGCUGAGGAUACUCACAAAAGUGAGUCCUGCUAGUGCAAGCAUUUCUUUUUCAAGAAUACAAGGGUAGAAACAAUUAAGAGCUACCUCCUCCUAUUUCAUCUGCAAUGUCAACCCACUAAACUGAUCAGCUAAUCGAUCAAUAUCUCUCCCUGCUAAAGAUAAUCGCUUUCGCGUUCAUGAGAUUUUGAUAGUACUUAUGUAAAUGUUAUCAAGGCGUGCAAAGCAAUACGCCUUGUAUAAUUAAUAACAACAAUUUUAAGAUGAUUUUUAGGUUGUUCACUUAGCAAGUAAAUACACAUCAAACAACCAACUCUUUAAAAUUAUAAUCAUCACUGUUAGGCAUAACAAAGUCGGCUAAAUUCCCCUCAUAAGCAAACUCAAAAACUCAAUAAUACCAUAUGUUUGUACCAUACUUAGGGCCUCCGUAUUUAUAUCUUGUAUAAAUACUCGGAGGACUCAAAUGUAAUUAUGUAAUAGAGGAGGGGCAAAUAUGUAAAAAUGAGAUGAGCCCUUAUUAAAUAAAAAUGCCUCCUCACCCUCACAAACCCUAAGCCUCCUCACAUCCCCUAAGCUCUAAGCUCUCUCAUGCUCUCACCCUCACAAUCAAGCUCUUACAGAGAAAUACAAUCAGUGUGGACGUAGCCCAAACAUUGGGGUGAACCACGAUACAUCUUUUGUUAUUUACUUCCUUGCAAAUUCACGGUCGAAUUUACGUUGUUCCAAGACCUCCGGUUUUGUGCAUCAACACCAUAAAUCCAAUUGAGAUAAAUGUCACCGUAUCCGCAACAAGUCCAUCCCUAGACAUGCUGAAGAUAACAAGGAUCUCACAUCAAAUUUGUCAAAAUUAAAUAUGACUUAUAUUGCAAUUUCCACUCCAAAUUAUAUCAAAGUAUUUUGUGAUAAAAUAUUCACAUAUGAAAUGUUGUGCAUGUAGGAAAAUUCAAGUUGAUAGAAAGUAUUGAUGUUGUUAAUGAUGGGUCCUUGUAAAGCAUGUGAUAAAAUUUUCAUUUUUCAAAGCUGUUUGGCAAACGUUAAUAGAUGAGCCCUUAACUUAUAUGUUAGCCACCAUUAGCUAGUAAACAUUACAAUACCAACAAGCCACCAAAGUCUUUGUGCUAUAUUAUAAAUAAAACUUUGGUACAUCAUGGAUGAGAUAUAGUAAAAAUCUUUGAUGCAUGUAACCUAACGUAGCCUGCUAACGGAGAGGUUUUUUCUGUGUACUUUGAACAUUGUCAUAGUGAUAAAAUAGUUCUAAUCAAUUGUAACACAUGUAUUUAAUUAUAUCAUGUGACACGUUUUCGAGGUACACACAAAGAGAAGAAUAAGAAGAUAUAAAUUAGGUUGUUCACACUUGGAAACAAGAUCGAUUGAUCCCUUUAUGAAUUUCAAUGUAAUCUUGAAGUAGUAAUAACUCUUUCCUUGAAUUUGAUCGAUCUUCUAGUCAAUUCCGGUCCUUAGAUCGAAUGAAUUGAAUAGAUUUAUGGACAAAAUUUAACAAGAGUAUAAAACACCCAAAGUUUGAAGUCAUGCUAGUUGCUGCAGCAUCAUCACCACCACCACCGCUCCCGCUCCAUCUUUUCUAGACUCCUAGUCAUCCACUGCCACAACCACUGCCAUCAUCACUAUCAGCACCACUAUACCACUCGGUUGGACUUCUAGUCAUGCAUGCACCUAGAUGUUCCUAAACGUAUUUUUGAUGUGAUGCACGGGACAAAUAUGUUUCACAAUUUGCUUAAAAGAAAUCAUUGUCCAUAAGAUAUUAUUGUGUUGGAACAAGACAAAUAUUGGUGACUUCGGUGUACCUUAAUUCUGCAUAUCAUUUUUCACGAAUAAAGGGUUAAAAUUUAACUAAAUAGUAUGUUAUGAUUCUUUUACUUUUGAGCCAAUAAGCCAAGAUAAAUAGGAGUGUAGAUAAGCCAAAUUACACGCGUGCAAAUUGCUGGGGAAGCCAACAAAGGUGGAGGUUGAAAGUUCAAUUAAUGUCGUUUAUUGAAUAAUCACGUGAUGAUGUUGGAUAAUGGAUAGUGACCCAUCUAAAUAUUUUUGUUGCUGGUUAGAAUUUUGUAUUUGGAGGAAUCUUCAUGAACGUAUUGGAAAUGUUGUCAAUUUUGAUAGAAUGUAGAUUUAAAUUGGAAUUUCAACAAAAGUAUAACUUGAGAUAAGUCUGGUAAAUUGUCGUAUGAUUCGUUAAUCCAAUACGAAAUGAUAUGGAAAUAAUAGGUUUUGGAUCAACUUGUUAACGAUUCGAAUCUUUAACGGAUGAUCCAUUAAGAAUCUGAUAAAAUAUCAUUUUGCAUAUCUAAACAUUAGGGAUUGCAAUUUAUUGCAUAACCCGUUAUCCGACAUGAAACAUUAUUACUUAACGAAUCAAGGUGUUAUCAGGUCACAUAUUAAGAACAUUUUAAGAUAAUGAGUAUAACACAAACACAACAAAUGCGGCAUGUUUGACAUGCCUAACUUGAAAGCUAUUAAAUAUUUACAUGGAAAUAAGUUUUACUGAAUAAUAUUUUGGUGUAGUUCAACCUGCUAAGUAUUUCGACUUUUUAAAUAAUCUUCACAACUCAAUUUCUUAAAAUAAGUUUUCACCGUUCAUUUUUUGAAUUACAUAGUAAUUCUGGAGAAAUUGUAGAGACUAAGAUAAUGCAAGUUGCCAACUAUAUUAACCUGACGCUGCCAACUUUACAUCUCAUUUUCAUAGGGACAAAGAUUGUCUGCUCUCCUUAUUCCCGUGCCCUCCUAUGCCCUCCUGUUUGUGUGAUCACGGUUAACCAACGUCAAUAUUUUAUAUUACUAUUUAUUUUUGUCUUAUUAUCUCUAUAAAAAAAAUAUAAAAUGUUAACGUGGCUUAACCGUGACCACACAAAACAGGAGGGCACGGAAGGGCACGGGAACAAGGAGGGUGGACAAUCCUUGUCCUUUUCAUAGCUCGAUUCAUAGGAUCCACGUCAGACUGAAUCAUUUUUUUAUCUCUUUCAAUAUAUAAUAAUUGGUUACGUAUAAAUAUUAAAUUUUCAAUACUAUUACACAUGUGCAGAUAAUAUCCCAAAUUAUUGUUUUCCUUCCAAGAAUUCACCAACGCACAACUUGGAGUCCAUCGCGACCAUUCCACGUGUCACCUUCUCAUCUAUAUAAUAGGUUUCCAAAUGAACCAAAGACAACUUGAGAAGAACUUCUACGUAACGUGAAUGUUAUUGUAACAGAAUAUGAAUUAAUAAUGGAUUAUCGUGUGGGAAAUUAAAAACGUAUGAGAUUGUGUUUAAUGCGUUUAGAAAAUCAAAAUGUGUUGUUCUCGUUCUAGAUAAGUUCUUAUUCCGUGCACAUGAAAACCCCAUUAUAAUAAGGUUACUGAGAGGUCUGGCAAAAGGAUCGUGUUUGUGUUAUUUCGUGUCUUAUCCGUUACCAAACUCGUUAUUUUAAUGGUUCUUAACCUGUGACUCAAUAACGACCCGAUUAGUUAACGAGUCGUGUCGUUUCGUGUCAGGUUAACAGAUUAGCAAGAAAUUGUCAUGCGUAAUGUCUAGAUCUGACAAAUGAUAUCUUAUUGGAUUCUUAACGGACGACCCGACAAUGACGUGACGUGCUAAUAGAUUUUUAACAAGUUACUUGAUAACGACUCGACUUAACAAGUUAACCCGAAAUUCCUUAUUUCGUAUUGUUCGUAUCAGAUUAACGGGUCGCAUAACAAAUUGUUUGGGCUACCUACUCGAAUACGGGAUCUUAUCCUUAUGCAAACGUGGAAGAUCAAUGAUUUGAUAUUAAUGGACCAUUAUCCAAUAAUCAAUUUCUUAACGCAAUGAUCAUAAAUUGUCACUUAAACUGAUACAAAGAAAAGUUCAAUUUUAUUUUUGUCUUAGAAAGUAAAUAGUCGGCCUCCACGUGUGAUGAAUGUAAAGAAAGUAACGCGUUUUUGUUUAUUUUUGGCGCGUAGUUGGUGGGAGAGUAGUGAGUACGUGGACACAGAUCAGCGCACUUGAUAAACUAAUUCAAAGAGUUAUGGGUAUUGGGCUCGGACCUGACUUCUCUACCCUUCCAGUUUUCAUACACUAUCAUUCCCUCUUAUUUGUACUGUCACAGUUAAGUCACGUCAAUAUUUUAUAUAACUAUUGCUUUUUAUCUUAUUAUCCCUAUAAAAAAUCAAUAUAAAAUGUGGACAUGGCUUAACCAUGACCGCACAAAAUAGGAGGGGAUGAGAGUGUAUGAGAACUGGAAGGGCAAAGAAACCGGGUCCAUUGAGCUCUAGCACCUAGGAGAAUAAUUACAAUUCAACGAAUUGGAACCAGGGGCUGAUCAUCUUGGAACAAGUGGGUCAGCUAUCCUCAAGCUAAGAAAUCUUUUAUGGAAGAGUUGGAUGAUGUCUUUCGACUGCUCGAUGAAUUACUUCUAUAGCUACUGAAUAGGAUAGUUGCUAGCUAAAUGUCUUUGUAUGCGUUGCUAUGAGAAUUUGUCGAUAGGUUCACUCAGCUUGCUUGCUAAAAAUUAUUGACAUCAAUGGAUAUGCUUAUUCGAAAGUUAUUGACAUAUGUCGACAAGUGUGGAAGUUAUUGACAUAUGUCGACAAGUGUGCGAUAUGACUUGGUAAAUAACUUAUAGCCUAUCAAGGCUUGAUGAAAUGUCAAUUUGCAUGCUUUCCUUCCAAAAAAGAUUACGCGUUGCACAUGUUACUUUUACUGAUAACAUAAAGUUCUUUUAUUUUUUUGUUGCAAAACCCUGAUUUUGUUUAUCCUUAUUAUGUGUUAUCCACUUACGAAAUCCGAAAGGUUAUGUUUGAGUGAUAGUAUAUAUGUGUGUGCGCCCCAAGAUUUAGUGUAUUAGUUGAGUAGUCGAACAAUUUCUUUCACUAUUUCUCUUUGUGUCUGUCAAUAAUUUAACUGUUUCAUGGACUUUCAAUUGUGCAGUUCAAUUCCUACACACCCACCUCCCUCAGCAACACAAACAGUCCGCCUUAGGAACUUUGAAUUUGGCAGUACAGGUGUUGAUAAUGAACAACCACAAGGGUAUGCUUCAGUUGAUUUUGAUUUUAUUUCUCUUUUAAGAAUAAUUCCUUUCAGUUUUUUUCUCACUCGAAAUCAACGGAGUGAUCGGUUCAGUUCUCAUAGCAAUUUAAUAUAAAAGCAAAAUCAAUUUGUUGGGUUUUUAUUUAAGUGUGUAACCUUUAAAUUUUGAAAGCGAUUAUCAACUAUCAUAAAGUUCUUUUAUUUUUUUGUAGCAAAACCCUGUUUUUGUUUAUCCUUAUUAUGUGUUAUCCACUUACGAAAUCCGAAAUGUUAUGUUUGAGUGAUAGUGUAUAUGUGCGUGCGCCCAAAGAUUUAGUGUAUUGGUUGAGUAGUCGAACCAUUUCUUUCUCUAUUUCUCUCUGUGUCUGUCAAUAAUUUAACUGUUUCAUGGAAUUUCAAUUGUGCAGUUCAAUUCCUACACACCCACCUCCCUCAGCAACACAAACAGUCCGCCUCAUGAACUUUGAAUUUGGCAGUACAGGUGUUCAUAAUGAACAACCACAAGGGUAUGCUUCAGUUGAUUUUGGUUUUAUUUCUCUUUUAAGAAUAAGUCCUUUCAGUUUUUUUCUCACUUGAAAUCAACGGAGUGAUCGGUUCAGUUCUCCUAGCAAUUUGAUAUAAAACCAAAAUCAAUUUGUUGAGUUUUUAUUUAAGUGUGUAACCUUUAAAUAUUGAAAGCGAUUAUCAACUAUCAUAAAGUUCUUUUAUUUUUUUGUUGCAAAACCCUGUUUUUGUUUAUCCUUAUUAUGUGUUAUCCACUUACGAAAUCCGAAAGGUUAUGUUUGAGUGAUAGUGUAUAUGUGUGUGCGCCCCAAGAUUUAGUGUAUUAGUUGAGUAGUCGAAUCAUUUCUUUCUCUAUUUCUCUCUGUGUCUGUCAAUAAUUUAACUGUUUCAUGGACUUUCAAUUGUGCAGUUCAAUUCCUACACACCCACCUCCCUCAGCAACACAAACAGUCCGUCUCAGGAACUUUGAAUUUGGCAGUACAGGUGUUGAUAAUGAACAACAACAAGGGUAUGCUUCAGUUGAUUUUGGUUUUAUUUCUCUUUUAAGAAUAAUUCCUUUCAGUUUUUUUCUCACUCGAAAUCAACGGAGUGAUCGGUUCAGUUCUCAUAGCAAUUUGAUAUAAAACAAAAAUCAAUUUGUUGGGUUUUUAUUUAAGUGUGUAACCUUUAAAUUUUGAAAGCGAUUAUCAACUAUCAUAAAGUUCUUUUCUUUUUUUGUUGCAAAACCCUGUUUUUGUUUAUCCUUAUUAUGUGUUAUUCACUUACGAAAUCCGAAAGGUUAUGUUUGAGUGAUAGUGUAUAUGUGUGUGCGCCCAAAGAUUUAGUGUAUUAGUUGAGUAGUCGAACCAUUUCUUUCUCUAUUUCUCUCUGUGUCUGUCAAUAAUUUAACUGUUUCAUGGACUUUCAAUUGUGCAGUUCAAUUCCUACACACCCACCUCCCUCAGCAACACAAACAGUCCGCCUCAGGAACUUUGAAUUUGGCAGUACAAGUGUUGAUAAUGAACAACCACAAGGGUAUGCUUCAGUUGAUUUUGGUUUUAUUUCUCUUUUAAGAACAAGUCCUUUCAGUUUUUUUCUCACUCGAAAUCAACGGAGUGAUCGGUUCAGUUCUCAUAGCAAUUUGAUAUAAAAGCAAAAUCAAUUUGUUGGGUUUUUAUUUAAGUGUGUAACCUUUAAAUAUUGAAUGCGAUUGUCAACUAUCAAAAAGUUCUUUUAUUUUUUUGUUGCAAAACUCUGUUUUUGUUUAUCCUUAUGAUGUGUUAUCCACUUACGAAAUCCGAAAGGUUAUGUUUGAGUGAUAGUGUACAUGUGUGUGCGCCCCAAGAUUUAGUGUAUUAGUUAAGUAGUCGAACCAUUUCUUUCUCUAUUUCUCUCUGUGUCUGUCAAUAAUUUAACUGUUUCAUGGACUUUCAAUUAUGCAGUUCAAUUUCCUACACACCCACCUCCCUCAGCAACACAAACAGUCCGCCUCAGGAACUUUGAAUAUGGCAGUACAGGUGUUGAUAAUGACAAACCACAAGGGUAUGCAGUUCAAUUCCUACACACCCACCUCCCUCAGCAACACAAACAGUCCGACUCAGGAACUUUGAAUUUUGCAGUACAAGUGUUGAUAAUGGCAAACCACAAGGGUAUGCUUCAGUUGAUUUUGGUUUUAUUUCACUUUUAAGAAUAAUUCCUUUCAGUUUUUUCUCUCUCGAAAUCAACGGAGUGAACGGUUAAGUUCUCAUAGCAAUUUGAUAUAGAACCAAAAUCAAUUUGUUGGGUUUUUAUUUAAGUGUGUAACCUUUAAAUUUUGAAAGCGAUUAUCAACUAUCAUAAAGUUCUUUUAUUUUUUUGUUGCAAAACCCUGUUUUUGUUUAUCCUUAUUAUGUGUUAUCCACUUACGAAAUCCGAAAUGUUAUGUUUGAGUGAUAGUGUAUAUGUGUGUGCGCCCAAAGAUUUAGUGUAUUAGUUGACUAGUCGAACCAUUUCUUUCUCUAUUUCUCUCUGUGUCUGUCAAUAAUUUAACUGUUUCAUGGACUUUCAAUUGUGCAAUUCAAUUCCUACACAUCCACCUCCCUCAGCAACACAAACAGUCCACCUCAGGAACUUUGAAUUUGGCAGUACAGGUGUUGAUAAUGAACAACCACAAGGGUAUGCUUCAGUUGAUUUUGGUUUUAUUUCUCUUUUCAGAAUAAUUCCUUUCAGUUUUUUUCUCACUCGAAAUCAACGGAGUGAUCGGUUCAAUUCUCAUAGCAAUUUGAUAUAAAACCAAAAUCAAUUUGUUGGGUUUUUAUUUUUAAGUGUGUAACAUUUAAAUUUUUUAAGCGAUUAUCAACUAUCAUAAAGUUCUUUUAUUUUUUUGUUGCAAAACCCUGUUUUUGGUUUAUCCUUAUUAUGUGUUAUCGACUUACGAAAUCCGAAAGGUUAUGUUUGAGUGAUAAUGUAUAUGUGUGUGCGCCGCUAGAUUUAGUGUAUUAGUUGAGUAGUCGAACCAUUUCUUUCUCUAUUUCUCUCUGUGUCUGUCAAUAAUUUAACCGUUUCAUGGACUUUCAAUUGUGCAGUUCAAUUCCUACACACCCACCUCCCUCAGCAACACAAAUAGUCCGCCUCAGGAACUUUGAAUUUGGCAGUACAGGUGUUGAUAAUGACAAACCACAAGGGUAUGCUUCAGUUGAUUUUGGUCUUAUUUCUCUUUUAAGAAUAAUUCCUUUCAGUUUUUUCUCACUUGAAAUGAACGGAGUGAUCGGUUCAGUUCACAUAGCAAUUUGAUAUAAAAGCAAAAUCAAUUUGUUGGGUUUUUAUUUAAGUGUGUAACCUUUAAAUUUUGAAAGCGAUUAUCAACUAUUAUAAAGUUCUUUUAUUUUUUUGUUGCAAAACCCUGUUUUUGUUUAUCCUUAUUAUGUGUUAUCCACUUACGAAAUCCGAAAUGUUAUGUUUGAGUGAUAGUGUAUAUGUGUGUGCGCCCAAAGAUUUAGUGUAUUAGUUGACUAGUCGAACCAUUUCUUUCUCUAUUUCUUUCUGUGUCUGUAAAUAAUUUAACUUUUUCAUGGACUUUCAAUUGUGGAAUUCAAUUCCUACACAUCCACGUCCCUCAGCAACACAAACCGUCCACCUCAGGAACUUUGAAUUUGGCAGUACAGGUGUAGAUAAUGAACAACCACAAGGGUAUGCUUCAGUUGAUUUUGGUUUUAUUUCUCUUUUAAGAAUAAUUCCUUUCAGUUUUUUUCUCACUCAAAAUCAACGGAGUGAUCGGUUCUGUUCUCAUAGCAAUUUGAUAUAUAACCAAAAUCAAUUUGUUGGGUUUUUGUUUAAGUGUGUAACCUUUAAAUUUUGAAAGCGAUUAUCAACUAUCAUAAAGUUCUUUUAUUUUUUUGUUGCAAAACCCUGUUUUUGUUUAUCCUUAUUAUGUGUUAUCCACUUACGAAAUCCAAAAGGUUAUGUUUGAGUGAUAGUGUAUAUAUGUGUGCGCCCAAAGAUUUAGUGUAUUAGUUGAGUAGUCGAACCAUUUCUUUCUCUAUUUCUCUCUGUGUCUGUCAAUAAUUUAACUGUUUCAUGGACUGUCAAUUGUGCAGUUCAAUUCCUACACACCCACCUCCCUCAGCAACACAAACAGUCCGCCUCAGGAACUUUGAAUUUGGCAGUACAAGUGUUGAUAAUGAACAACUACAAGGGUAUGCUUCAGAUGAUUUUGGUUUUAUUUCUCUUUUAAGAAUAAUUUCUUUCAGUUUUUUUCUCACUCGAAAUCAACGGAUUGACCGGUUCAGUUCUCAUAGCAAUUUGAUAUAAAACCAAAAUCAAUUUGUUGGGUUUUUAUUUAAGUGUGUAACCUUUAAAUUUUGAAAGCGAUUGUCAAGCAUCAUAAAGUUCUUUUAUUUUUUUGUUGAAAAAACCCUGUUUUUGGUUUAUCCUUAUUAUGUGUUAUCGACUUACGAAAUCCAUGAGGUUAUGUUUGAGUGAUAAUGUAUAUGUGUAUUAGUUGAGUAGUCGAACCAUUUCUUUCUCUAUUUCUCUCUGUGUCUGUCAAUAAUUUAACUGUUUCAUGGACUUUCAAUUGUGCAGUUUAAUUCCUACACACCCACCUCCCUCAACAAUAAAAACUGUCCGCCCCAGGAAUUUUGAAUUUGGCAGUACAGGUGUUGAUAAUGAACAACCACAAGGGUAUGCUUCAGUUGAUUUUGGUUUUAUUUCUCUUUUAAGAAUAAUUCCUUUCAGUUUUUUUCUCACUCGAAAUCAACGGAGUGAUCGGUUCAGUUCUCAUACCAAUUUGAUAUAAAACCAAAAUCAAUUUGUUGGGUUUUUAUUUAAGUGUGUAACCUUUAAAUGUUGAAAGCGAUUAUCAACUAUCAUAAAGUUCUUUUAUUUUUUUGUUGCAAAACCCUGUUUUUGUUUAUCCUUAUUAUGUGUUAUCCACUUACGAAAUCCGAAAUGUUAUGUUUGAGUGAUAGUGUAUAUGUGUGUGCGCCCAAAGAUUUAGUGUAUUAGUUGACUAGUCGAACCAUUUCUUUCUCUAUUUCUCUCUGUGUCUGUCAAUAAUUUAACUGUUUCAUGGACUUUCAAUUGUGCAAUUCAAUUCCUACACAUCCACCUCCCUCAGCAACACAAACAGUCCACCUCAGGAACUUUGAAUUUGGCAGUACAGGUGUUGAUAAUGAACAACCACAAGGAUAUGCUUCAGAUGAUUUUGGUUUUAUUUCUCUUUUCAGAAUAAUUUCUUUCAGUUUUUUUCUCACUCGAAAUCAACGGAUUGAUCGGUUCAGUUCUCAUAGCAAUUUGAUAUAAAACCAAAAUCAAUUUGUUGGGUUUUUAUUUAAGUGUGUAACCUUUAAAUUUUGAAAGCGAUUGUCAAGCAUCAUAAAGUUCUUUUAUUUUUUUGUUGAAAAAACCCUGUUUUUGGUUUAUCCUUAUUAUGUGUUAUCGACUUACGAAAUCCAUAAGGUUAUGUUUGAGUGAUAAUGUAUAUGUGUAUUAGUUGAGUAGUCGAAUCAUUUCUUUCUCUAUUUCUCUCUGUGUCUGUCAAUAAUUUAACUGUUUCAUGGACUUUCAAUUGUGCAGUUUAAUUCCUACACACCCACCUCCCUCAACAAUAAAAACUGUCCGCCCCAGGAAUUUUGAAUUUGGCAGUACAGGUGUUGAUAAUGAACAACCACAAGGGUAUGCUUCAGUUGAUUUUGGUUUUAUUUCUCUUUUAAGAAUAAUUCCUUUCAGUUUUUUUCUCACUCGAAAUCAACGGAGUGAUCGGUUCAGUUCUCAUACCAAUUUGAUAUAAAACCAAAAUCAAUUUGUUGGGUUUUUAUUUAAGUGUGUAACCUUUAAAUGUUGAAAGCGAUUAUCAACUAUCAUAAAGUUCUUUUAUUUUUUGGUUGCAAAACCCUGUUUUUGUUUAUCCUUAUUAUGUGUUAUCCACUUACGAAAUCUGAAAGGUUAUGUUUGAGUGAUAGUAUAUAUGUGUGUGCGCCCCAAGAUUUAGUGUAUUAGUUGAGCAGUCGAACCAUUUCUUUCUCUAUUUCUCUCUGUGUCUGUCAAUAAUUUAACUGUUUCAUGGACUGUCAAUUGUGCAGUUCAAUUCCUACACACCCACCUCCCUCAGCAACACAAACAGUCCGCAUCAGGAACUUUGAAUUUGGCAGUACAAGUGUUGAUAAUGAACAACCACAAGGGUAUGCUUCAGAUGAUUUUGGUUUUAUUUCUCUUUUCAGAAUAAUUUCUUUCAGUUUUUUUCUCACUCGAAAUCAACGGAUUGAUCGGUUCAGUUCUCAUAGCAAUUUGAUAUAAAACCAAAAUCAAUUUGUUGGGUUUUUAUUUAAGUGUGUAACCUUUAAAUUUUGAAAGCGAUUGUCAACCAUCAUAAAGUUCUUUUAUUUUUUUGUUGAAAAAACCCUGUUUUUGGUUUAUCCUUAUUAUGUGUUAUCGACUUACGAAAUCCAUAAGGUUAUGUUUGAGUGAUAAUGUAUAUGUGUGUGCGCCCAAAGAUUUAGUGUAUUAGUUGAGUAGUCGAACCAUUUCUUUCUCUAUUUCUCUCUUUGUCUGUCAAUAAUUUAACUGUUUCAUGGACUUUCAAUUGUGCAGUUUAAUUCCUACACACCCACCUCUCUCAACAAUAAAAACUUUCCGCCCCAGGAAUUUUGAAUUUGGCAGUACAGGUGUUGAUAAUGAACAACCACAAGGGUAUGCUUUAGUUGAUUUUGGUUUUAUUUCUCUUUUAAGAAUAAUUCCUUUAAGUUUUUUUCUCACUCGAAAUCAACGGAGUGAUCGGUUCAGUUCUCAUACCAAUUUGAUAAAAAACCAAAAUCAAUUUGUUGGGUUUUUAUUUAAGUGUGUAACCUUUAAAUUUUGAAAGCGAUUAUCAACUAUCAUAAAGUUCUUUUAUUUUUUUGUUGCAAAACCCUGUUUUUGUUUAUCCUUAUUAUGUGUUAUCCACUUACGAAAUCUGAAAGGUUAUGUUUGAGUGAUAGUAUAUAUGUGUGUACGCCCCAAGAUUUAGUGUAUUAGUUGAGCAGUCGAACCAUUUCUUUCUCUAUUUCUCUCUGUGUCUGUCAAUAAUUUAACUGUUUCAUAGACUUUCAAUUGUGCAGUUCAAUUCCUACACACCCACCUCCCUCAGCAACACAAAUAGUCCGCCUCAGAAACUUAGAAUUUGGCAGUACAGGUGUUGAUAAUGACAAACCACAAGGGUAUGCUUCAGUUGAUUUUGGUUUUAUUUCUCUUUUAAGAAUAAUUCCUUUCAGUUUUUUCUCACUCGAAAUCAACGGAGUGAUCGGUUCAGUUCUCAUAGCAAUUUGAUAUAAAACCAAAAUCAAUUUGUUGGGUUUUUAUUUAAGUGUGUAACCUUUAAAUUUUGAAAGCGAUUAUCAACUAUGAUAAAGUUUUUUUAUUUUUUUGUUGGAAAAACCUGUUUUUGUUUAUCCUUAUUAUGUGUUAUCCAUUUAUGAAAUCCGAAAUGUUAUGUUUGAGUGAUAGUGCAUAUGCUUGUGCGCCCAAAGAUUUAGUGUAUUAGUUGACUAGCCGAACAAUUUCUUUCUCUAUUUCUCUCUGUGUCUGUCAAUAAUUUAACCGUUUCAUGGACUUUCAAUUGUGCAAUUCAAUUCCUACACAUCCAACUCCCUCAGCAACAUAAACAGUCCACCUCAGAAACUUUGAAUUUGGCAGUAUAGGUGUUGAUAAUGAACAACCACAAGGGUAUGCUUCAGUUGAUUUUGGUUUUAUUUAUCUUUUAAGAAUAAUUCCUUUCAGUUUUUUUCUCACUCGAAAUCAACGGAGUGAUCAAUUCAGUUCUCAUAGCAAUUUGAUAUAAAACCAAAAUCAAUUUGUUGGGUUUUUAUUUAAGUGUGUAACCUUUAAAUUUCGAAAGCGAUUAUCAACUAUCAUAAAGUUCUUUUAUUUUUUUGUUGCAAAACCCUGUUUUUGUUUAUCCUUAUUAUGUGUUAUCCACUUACGAAAUUCAAAAGGUUAUGUUUGAGUGAUAAUGUAUAUAUGUGUGCGCCCAAAGAUUUAGUGUAUUAGUUGAGUAGUCGAACCAUUUCUUUCUCUAUUUCUCUCUGUGUCUGUCAAUAAUUUAACUGUUUCAUGGACUGUCAAUUGUGAAGUUCAAUUCCUACACACCCACCUCCCUCAGCAACACAAACAGUCCGCCUCAGGAACUUUGAAUUUGUCAGUACAAGUGUUGAUAAUGAACAACCACAAGGGUAUGCUUCAGUUGAUUUUUGUUUUAUUUCUCUUUUAAGAAUAAUUCCUUUCAGUUUUUUUCUCACUCGAAAUCAACGGAGUGAUCGGUUCAGUUCUCAUAGCAAUUUGAUAUAAAACCAAAAUCAAUUUGUUGGGUUUUUAUUUAAGUGUGUAACCUUUAAAUUUUGUAAGCGAUCAUCAACUAUCAUAAAGUUCUUUUAUUUUUUUGUUGCAAAACCCUGUGUUUGUUUAUCCUUAUUAUGUGUUAUCCACUUACGAAAUCUGAAAGGUUAUGUUUGAGUGAUAGUGUAUAUGUGUGUGUGCCCCAAGAUUUAGUGUAUUAGUUGAGCAGUCGAGCCAUUUCUUUCUCUAUUUCUCUCUGUGUCUGUCAAUAAUUUAACUGUUUCAUGGACUUUCAAUUGUGCAGUUCAAUUCCUACACACCCACCUCCCUCAGCAACAUAAAUAGUCCGCCUCAGGAACUUUGAAUUUGGCGGUACAGGUGUUAAUCAUGACAAACCACAAGGGUAUGCUUCAGUUGAUUUUGGUUUUAUUUCUCUUUUAAGAAUAAUUCCUUUCAGUUUUUUUCUCACUCAAAAGCAACGGAGUGAUCGGUUCUGUUCUCAUAGCAAUUUGAUAUAUAACCAAAAUCAUUUUGUUGGGUUUUUGUUUAAGUGUGUAACCUUUAAAUUUUGAAAGCGAUUAUCAACUAUCAUAAAGUUCUUUUAAUUUUUUUGUUGCAAAACCCUGUUUUUGUUUAUCCUUAUUAUGUGUUAUCCACUUACGAAAUCCAAAAGGUUAUGUUUGAGUGAUAGUGUAUAUAUGUGUGCGCCCAAAGAUUUAGUAUAUUAGUUAACUAGUCGAACCAUUUCGUUCUCUAUUUCUCUCUGUGUCUGUCAAUAAUUUAACUGUUUCAUGGACUGUCAAUUGUGCAGUUCAAUUCCUACACACCCACCUACCUCAGCAACACAAACAGUCCGCCACAGGAACUUUGAAUUUGGCAGUACAAGUGUUGAUAAUGAACAACCACAAGGGUAUGCUUCAGAUGAUUUUGGUUUUAUUUCUCUUUUCAGAAUAAUUUCUUUCAGUUUUUUUCUCACUCGAAAUCAACGGAGUGAUCGCUUCAGUUCUCAUAACAAUUUGAUAUAAAACCAAAAUCAAUUUGUUGUGUUUUUAUUUAAGUGUAACCUUUAAAUUUUGAAAGCGAUUAUCAACUAUUAUAAAGUUCUUUUAUUUUUUUUGUUGCAAAACCUUGUUUUUGUUUAUCCUUAUUAUGUGUUAUCCACUUAUGAAAUCCGAAAGGUUAUGUUUGAGUGAUAGUGUAUAUGUGUGUGCGCCCAAAGAGUUAGUGUAUUAGUUGACUAGUCGAACCAUUUCUUUCUCUAUUUCUCUCUGUGUCUGUAAAUAAUUUAACUGUUUCAUGGACUUUCAAUUGUGCAGUUCAAUUCCUCCACAUGCACCUCCCUCAGCAACACAAACAGUCCACCUCAGGAACUUUGAAUUUGGCAGUAUAGGUGUUGAUAAUGAACAACCACAAGGGUAUGCUUCAGUUGAUUUUGGUUUUAUUUCUCUUUUAAGAAUAAUUCCUUUCAGUUUUUUUCUCACUCGAAAUCAACGGAGUGAUUUGUUCUGUUCUCAUAGCAAUUUGAUAUAAAACCAAAAUCAAUUUGUUGGGUUUUUAUUUAAGUGUAACCUUUAAAUUUUGAAAGCGAUUAUCAACUAUUAUAAAGUUCUUUUAUUUUUUUUGUUGCAAAACCCUGUUUUUGUUUAUCCUUAUUAUGUGUUAUCCACUUAUGAAAUCCGAAAUGUUAUGUUUGAGUUAUAGUGUAUAUGUGUGUGCGCCCAAAGAUUUAGUGUAUUAGUUGACUAGUCGAAACAUUUCUUUCUCUAUUUCUCUCUGUGUCUGUAAAUAAUUUAAUUGUUUCAUGGACUUUCAAUUGUGCAAUUCAAUUCCUACACAUCCACCUCCCUCAGCAACACAAACAGUCCAACUCAGGAACUUUGAAUUUGGCAGUACAAGUGUUGAUAAUGAACAACCACAAGGGUAUGCUUCUGUUGAUUUUGGUUUUAUUUCUCUUUUAAGAAUAAUUCCUUUCAGUUUUUUUCUCACUCGAAAUCAACGCAGUGAUUGGUUCUGUUCUCAUAGCAAUUUGAUAUAAAACCAAAAUCAAUUUUUUGGGUUUUUAUUUAAGUGUGUAACCUUUAAAUUUUGAAAGCGAUUAUCAACUAUCAUAAAGUUCUUUUAUUUUUUUGUUGCAAAACCCUGUUUUUGUUUAUCCUUAUUAUGUGUUAUCCACUUACGAAAUCCGAAAGGUUAUGUUUGAGUGAUAGUGUAUAUAUGUGUGCGCCCAAAGAUUUAGUGUAUUAGUUGAGUAGUCGAACCAUUUCUUUCUCUAUUUCUCUCUGUGUCUGUCAAUAAUUUAACUGUUUCAUGGACUGUCAAUUGUGCAGUUGAAUUCCUACACACCCACCUCCAUCAGCAACGCAAACAGUCAGCCUCAGGAACUUUGAAUUUGACAGUACAAGUGUUGAUAAUGAACAACCACAAGGGUAUACUUCAGUUGAUUUUGGUUUUAUUUCUCUUUUAAGAAUAAUUUCUUUCGGUUUUUUUCUCACUCGAAAUCAACGGAGUGAUUGGUUCUGUUCUCAUAGCAAUUUGAUAUAAAACCAAAAUCAAUUUGUUGGGUUUUUAUUUAAGUGUAACCUUUAAAUUUUUAAAGCGAUUAUCAACUAUUAUAAAGUUCUUUUAUUUUUUUUUGUUGCAAAACCCUGUUUUUGUUUAUCCUUAUUAUGUGUUAUCCACUUAUGAAAUCCGAAAUGUUAUGUUUGAGUGAUAGUGUAUAUGUGUGUGCGCCCAAAGAUUUAGUGUAUUAGUUGACUAGUCGAACCAUGUCUUUCUCUAUUUCUCUCUGUGUCUGUAAAUAAUUUAACUGUUUCAUGGACUUUCAAUUGUGCAAUUCAAUUCCUCCACAUGCACCUCCCUCAGCAACACAAACAGUCCACCUCAGGAACUUUGAAUUUGGCAGUACAAGUGUUGAUAAUGAACAACCACAAGGGUAUGCUUCAGUUGAUUUUGGUUUUAUUUCUCUUUUAAGAAUAAUUCCUUUCAGUUUUUUUCUCAAUCGAAAUCAACGGAGUGAUUGGUUCUGUUCUCAUAGCAAUUUGAUAUAAAACCAAAAUCAAUUUGUUGGGUUUUUAUUUAAGUGUGUAACCUUUAAAUUUUGAAAGCGAUUAUCAACUAUCAUAAAGUUCUUUUAUUUUUUUGUUGCAAAACCCUGUUUUUGUUUAUCCUUAUUAUGUGUUAUCCACUUACGAAAUCCGGAAGGUUAUGUUUGAGUGAUAGUGUAUAUAUGUGUGCGCCCAAAGAUUUAGUGUAUUAGUUGAGUAGUCGAACCAUUUCUUUCUCUAUUUCUCUCUGUGUCUGUCAAUAAUUUAACUGUUUCAUGGACUGUCAACUGUGCAGUUCAAUUCCUACACACCCACCUCCCUCAGCAACACAAACUGUCCGCCUCAGGAACUUUGAAUUUGGCAGUACAAGUGUUGAUAAUGAACAACCACAAGGAUAUGCUUCAGUUGAUUUUGGUUUUAUUUCUCUUUUCUGAAUAAUUCCUUUCAGUUUUUUUCUCACUCGAAAUCAACGGAGUGAUCGGUUCAGUUCUUAUAGCAAUUUGAUAUACAACCAAAAUCAAUUUGUUGGGUUUUUAUUUAAGUGUGUAACCUUUAAAUUUUGAAAGCGAUUGUCAACUAUCAUAAAGUUCUUUUAUUUUUUUGUUGAAAAAACCCUGUUUUUGGUUUAUCCUUAUUAUGUGUUAUCGACUUACGAAAUCCGAAAGGUUAUGUUUGAGUGAUAAUGUAUAUGUGUGUGCGCCAAAAGAUUUAGUGUAUUAGUUGAGUAGUCGAACAAUUUCUUUCUCUAUUUCUCUCUGUGUCUGUCAAUAAUUUGACUGUUUCAUGGACUUUCAAUUGUGCAGUUCAAUUCCUAUACACCCACCUCCCUCAGCAACAGAAACUGUCCGCCUCAGGAAUUUUGAAUUUGGCAGUACAGGUGUUGAUAAUGAACAACCACAAGGGUAUGCUUCAGUUGAUUUUGGUUUUAUUUCUCUUUUAAGAAUAAUUCCUUUCAGUUUUUUUCUCACUCGAAAUCAACGGAAUGAUCGGUUCAGUUCUCAUAGCAAUUUGAUAUAAAACCAAAAUGAAUUUGUUGGGUUUUUAUUUAAGUGUGUAACCUUUAAAUUUUGAAAGCGAUUAUCAACUAUCAUAAAGUUCUUUUAUUUUUUUUAUGCAAAACCCUGUUUUUGUUUAUCCUGAUUAUGUGUUAUCCACUUACGAAAUCGGAAAGGUUAUGUUUGAGUGAUAGUGUAUAUGUGUGUGCGCCCCAAGAUUUAGUGUAUUAGUUGAGUAGUCGAACCAUUUCUUUCUCUAUUUCUCUCUGUGUCUGUCAAUAAUUUAACUGUUUCAUGGACUUUCAAUUGUGCAGUUCAAUUCCUACACACCCACCUCCCUCAGCAACACAAACAGUCCGCCUCAGGAACUUUGAAUUUGGCAGUACAGGUGUUGAUAAUGAACAACCACAAGGGUAUGCUUCGGUUGAUUUUGGUUUUAUUUCUCUUUUAAGAAUAAUUCCUUUCAUUUUUUUUCUCACUCGAAAUUAAUGGAGUGAUCGGUUCAGUUCUCAUAGCAAUUUGAUAUAAAACCAAAAUCAAUUUGUUGGGUUUUUAUUUAAGUGUGUAACCUUUAAAUUUUGAAAGCGAUUAUCAACUAUCAUAAAGUUCUUUUAUUUUUUUGUUGCAAAACCCUAUUUUUGUUUAUCCUUAUUAUGUGUUAUCCACUUACGAAAUCUGAAAGGUUAUGUUUGAGUGAUAGUGUAUAUGUGUGUGCGCUACAAGAUUUAGUGUAUUAGGUGAGUAGUCGAACCAUUUCUUUCUCUAUUUCUCUCUGUGUCUGUCAAUAAUUUAACUGUUUCAUGGACUUUCAAUUGUGCAAUUCAAUUCCUACACACCCACCUCCCUCACCAACACAAACAGUCUGCCUCAGGAACUUUGAAUUUGGCAGUACAAGUGUUGAUAAUGAACAACCACAAGGUUAUGCUUCAGUUGAUUUUGGUUUUAUUUCUCUUUUAAGAAUAAUUCCUUUCAGUUUUUUUCUCACUCGAAAUCAACGGAGUGAUCGAUUCAGUUCUUAUAGCAAUUUGAUAUAAAACCAAAAUCAAUUUGUUGGGUUUUUAUUUAAGUGUGUAACCUUUAAAUUUUGAAAGCGAUUAUCAACUAUCAAAAAGUUCUUUUAUUUUUUUGUUGCAAAACCCUGUUUUUGUUUUUCCUUAUUAUGUGUUAUCCACUUACGAAAUCCGAAAGGUUAUGUUUGAGUGAUAAUGUAUAUGUGUGUGCGCCCCAAGAUUUAGUGUAUUAGUUGAGUAGUCGAACAAUUUCUUUCUCUAUUUCUCUUUGUGUCUGUCAAUAAUUUAACUGUUUCAUGGACUUUCAAUUGUGCAGUUCAAUUCCUACACACCCACCUCCCUCAACAACACAAACAGUCAGCCUCAGGAACUUUGAAUUUGGCAGUACAGGUGUUGAUAAUGAACAACCACAAGGGUAUGCUUCAGUUGAUUUUGGUUUUAUUUCUCUUUUAAGCAUAAUUCCUUUCAGUUUUUUUCUCACUCGAAAUCAACGGAGUGAUCGGUUCAGUUCUCAUAGCAAUUUGAUAUAAAACCAAAAUUAAUUUGUUGGGUUUUUAUUUAAGUGUGUAACCUUUAAAUUUUGAAAGCGAUUAUCAACUAUCAUAAAGGUCUUUUAUUUUUUUUGUUGCAAAACCCUGUUUUUGUUUAUGCUUAUUAUGUGUUAUCCACUUGCGAAAUCUGAAAGGUUAUGUUUGAGUGAUGUGUAUAUGUGUGUGCGCCCCAAGAUUUAGUGUAUUAGUUGAGUAGUCGAACCAUUUCUUUCUCUAUUUCUCUCUCUGUCUGUCAAUAAUUUAACUGUUUCAUGGACUUUCAAUUGUGCAAUUCAAUUCCUACACACCCACCUCCCUCAGCAACACAAACUGUCCACUUUGAAUUUUGCAGUACAAGUGUUCCACAGCCUCCAUUAGCAACACAAACAGUCCGCCCCAGGAACCUUGUAUUGGGCGGUUCAAGUGUUGCACACCUACCUGUAUCGGCAGCACAAACAGUCCAACGUGGACGUCAUACGCAAACAAGGAUUCGAAUCAAUGUAGCUACGAAGGGAAGGCGGCGGUCGUACAAAUUUCAUGUGGAUCCGAAUGGGAAGGUGGCUGGCCUAAGGGUGCUGCUUGUGAACGAGACAAACGAUCUACCACUGGAUUACGACUUUUUCUUCAAUCGGGAUUACUUGAAAGAAGAUGUAAGUUUUCAAGCACAAGGGAUGGUAGAGGGUGCGAGAGUCCCAAAAAUUGAAGUGAUGGACUUCAGCGCCAAUUUCUAACUCAGAAAAGUAUCACUCGACGAUGCAGGAGGGUUUUUUCGGUAAUAUUGUUUUGAUCAAAAUUGAAGUGAUGGACUUCAGCGUCUAUUUAUACAGCUUACUAUGGCGUUCCCAUUUCUUGUUUUGAUCAAAAUUUUAUUAUCGGUUUUAUUUGUUCAUAAUUCUUUGAUGGAUGGAAAAGUGAAUAGAAAUUGAAGUUAGAAAAUUUGAUAUGUUGUUGAGUAGACCAUUACCCUUGCAAAAAGUUUGGGACCUUGUUGUCAAAUUUCUCACUGAGCAUUUGAGUUCAUGAUGAUCAUAUGGCUCAAUGGUUUCAAGCUAAGAAAGCAGCGUCCGUAAACAUUAUAUAUUAUUACUUCCUUUAAUUUCAUUGACUUACUUCAUUAGUAUAAACCAAACCCUCCAAGUGAACACAACAUAUACCUAUUAAAAUUUGGACCAAGAAAAACAAAUAAUGGAUAAUAGUGUUCAAAUUUGAACAACUUAUAAAAAGUCUUGUCCCGUUCCACGCAUAAAAUUGUACCAAACAAGAGAUGGAACAUGGGUAUUUUAGUCAUUUUAAUCUUUUGGUUCCGUUCCGUCUUGUUCGGUCUUGCGCGUACCAAAUAUAACACAAAACAUCCGUUCCGUCCCGUCCCGUCCCGUCCCGUCCCAUCCGGUCUGCGUACCAAACGCUACCUAUCAGCACCACUAUGCCAGUCGGUUGGACUUCUAGUCAUGCAUGCACCUAGAUGUUCCUAAACGUAUUUUUGAUGUGAUGCACGGGACAAAUAUGUUUUACAAUCAUUGUCCAUAAGAUAUUAUUGUGUUGGAACAAGACAAAUAUUGGUCACUUACGUUACGUGUACCUUAAUUCUGCACAUCAUUUUUCACGAGUAAACAGUUAAAAUUUAACAAAAUAGUGUGUUUUGAUUCUUUUACUUUAUGAGCCAAUAAGCCAGGAGGAAGAGGAGUGCAGAUAAGCCAAAUUACACACGUUGCAAAUUGCAGGGGAAGCCAACAAAGGUGCAGGUUGAAAGUUUGAUUAAUGUCGUUUAUUGAAUAAUCAUGUGAUGUUGGAUAAUGGAUAGUGACCCACCUGAAUAUUUUUGUUGCUGGUUAGAAUUUUGUAUUUUGAGGAAUCUUCGUGGACAUAUUGGAAAUGUUGUCAAUUUUGAUAGAAUGUAGAUUUAAACUGGAAUUUCAACAAAAGUAUAACUUGAAAUAGGUCUUGUAAAUUGUCAUAUGAUUCGUUAAUCCAAUACGAAAUGAUAUGGAAAUAAUAGUUUUGAAUCAACUUGAUAAUGAUUUGGAUCUUUAACAGAUGACCCGUUAAGAAUAUGAUAAGAUAUCAUUUUACAUAUCUAAACAUUAGGGAUUGCAAUUUCUUGCAUAACCUGUUAUCCGACAUGAAACAUGAUUAGUUAACAAAUCGAGGUGUUAUCGGGUCAUCUGUUGAGAACCUUUUAAGAUAACGGCUAUAACACAAACACCACAAAUACGAUAUGUUUGCCAUGCCUAACUUGAAAGCUAUUAAAUAUUUACAUGGAAAUAAGAUUUACUGAAUAAUAUUUCUUUGUAGUUCAACUUGCUAAGUAUUUCGACUUCUUAAACAAUCUUCACAGCUUGAUUUUUUAAAAUCAAUCUUCAUCGUUCAUUUUUCGAAUUACUUAGUAAUUCUGGGAGAAAUAGUAGAGACUUGAGAAAUAGUAGAAGAUAAUUCAAGAUGCCAACUACAGUAAACUGACGCUGCCAACUUUACAACUCAUUUUCAUAGUUCGAUUCAAAGGAUCCACGUCAGACCGAAUCAUUUUUUUAUCUCUUUCAAUAUAUAAUAAUUGGUUACGUAUAAAUAUUAAAUUUUCAAUACAAUUAUACAUGUGCAGAUAAUAUCCCAAAUUAUUGUUUUCCUUCCAAGAAUUCACCAACACACAACUUGGAGUCCAUCGCGACCAUUCCACGGAAAAAGGAUUCUCGCCAGAUUCUUUUUCUAUGGAUUCAAUAAUCGUAAUCGUUUAUCAUAUAUCAUGCGGUCAGAAAUUAUUUCAAAAUUUAAAUUUUAAAAUUAAAUAUAAAUAGUACUUAACGAAAAUUGACCGCACAAUGUAUGAUGAAUUAUCACAAUCAUAGCAUCCCUAGGAUCCAUACAAAAAGGAUCCGGUAGAAUCCUUUUCCCAUUCCACGUACCACCUUCUCAUCUAAAUAAUAGAUUUCCAAAUGAACCAAAGACAACUUGAGAAGAACUUCUACGUAACGUGAAUGUUACUAUAAUAGGAUAUGAAUUAAUAAUAGAUUAUCGUGUGGGAAGUUAAAAACGUAUGAGAUUGUGUUUAAUGCGUUUAGAAAAUCAAAAUGUGUUGUUCUCGUUCUAGAUAACUUCUUAUUCCGUGCACAUGAAAACCCCAUUAUAAUAAGGUUAUUGAGAGGUCUGGCAAAAUGAUCGUGUUUGUGUUGUUUCGUGUCUUAUCCGUUACUAAACUCGUUAUUUUAUUGGUUCUUAACAAGUGACUCAAUAACGACCCGAUUAGUUAACGAGUCGUGUCGUUUCGUGUCAGGUUAACAGAUUAACAAGAAAUUGUCAUGCCUAAUGUCUAGAUCUGACAAAUNNNNNNNNNNNNNNNNNNNNNNNNNNNNNNNNNNNNNNNNNNNNNNNNNNNNNNNNNNNNNNNNNNNNNNNNNNNNNNNNNNNNNNNNNNNNNNNNNNNNNNNNNNNNNNNNNNNNNNNNNNNNNNNNNNNNNNNNNNNNNNNNNNNNNNNNNNNNNNNNNNNNNNNNNNNNNNNNNNNNNNNNNNNNNNNNNNNNNNNNNNNNNNNNNNNNNNNNNNNNNNNNNNNNNNNNNNNNNNNNNNNNNNNNNNNNNNNNNNNNNNNNNNNNNNNNNNNNNNNNNNNNNNNNNNNNNNNNNNNNNNNNNNNNNNNNNNNNNNNNNNNNNNNNNNNNNNNNNNNNNNNNNNNNNNNNNNNNNNNNNNNNNNNNNNNNNNNNNNNNNNNNNNNNNNNNNNNNNNNNNNNNNNNNNNNNNNNNNNNNNNNNNNNNNNNNNNNNNNNNNNNNNNNNNNNNNNNNNNNNNNNNNNNNNNNNNNNNNNNNNNNNNNNNNNNNNNNNNNNNNNNNNNNNNNNNNNNNNNNNNNNNNNNNNNNNNNNNNNNNNNNNNNNNNNNNNNNNNNNNNNNNNNNNNNNNNNNNNNNNNNNNNNNNNNNNNNNNNNNNNNNNNNNNNNNNNNNNNNNNNNNNNNNNNNNNNNNNNNNNNNNNNNNNNNNNNNNNNNNNNNNNNNNNNNNNNNNNNNNNNNNNNNNNNNNNNNNNNNNNNNNNNNNNNNNNNNNNNNNNNNNNNNNNNNNNNNNNNNNNNNNNNNNNNNNNNNNNNNNNNNNNNNNNNNNNNNNNNNNNNNNNNNNNNNNNNNNNNNNNNNNNNNNNNNNNNNNNNNNNNNNNNNNNNNNNNNNNNNNNNNNNNNNNNNNNNNNNNNNNNNNNNNNNNNNNNNNNNNNNNNNNNNNNNNNNNNNNNNNNNNNNNNNNNNNNNNNNNNNNNNNNNNNNNNNNNNNNNNNNNNNNNNNNNNNNNNNNNNNNNNNNNNNNNNNNNNNNNNNNNNNNNNNNNNNNNNNNNNNNNNNNNNNNNNNNNNNNNNNNNNNNNNNNNNNNNNNNNNNNNNNNNNNNNNNNNNNNNNNNNNNNNNNNNNNNNNNNNNNNNNNNNNNNNNNNNNNNNNNNNNNNNNNNNNNNNNNNNNNNNNNNNNNNNNNNNNNNNNNNNNNNNNNNNNNNNNNNNNNNNNNNNNNNNNNNNNNNNNNNNNNNNNNNNNNNNNNUUGAUGAAAUGUCAAUUUGCAUGCUUUCCUUCCAAAAAAAAUUACGCGUUGCGCAUGUUAUUUUUACUGAUUCCCCAACAAUAUUCCAUGAAUCCUUUACUAAUUUGAAUCGACCCAAACAAUGCUUUUGAAAAAAAUUAUUGGAUGGUACUCUAUUACGUGAUAUGGUAAUUCAUAAGUAUUAUGCGAGUGAAUGAUAAAAUUUAUAAUUUAAAUAUUAAUACUAUGUUUACAUAUCAAAAACAGGUUAUGAGUAUCAUUUUCAUUUUGAACCUAUACUCGGCUUAUUAAUAUACGAUAAAUGAAUAGGCGAGGUAGUCUUACGUUGAAUAGGCAGUAGUCAAUUUCAACCGUGUAUAAUGAAUUAUUACUAAAGAGAUCGAUUAUCGCGUACUUAAACAACUAGAUGUCAUUCACUUAUAUCAUAACUAAUAAAUUAUAUAUAUAAAAAAAAAGAACUUUAACGAAAAACUUUCGGUACUGUUUACUUUAACGAAAAAUCAUAUUUUUACACUAAAAAGUCAAUUAUGGUACUAUUCACUUUACCUUUUAUUUUAAGAAAAUAUAAUGAAAAUAGCUUGAAAACUUUGAGUUUUAAUGAUAAGGACAAAAUAAAGGGUAAAGUGAAUAGUAUCAGGUUUGACUUUUUAGUGUAAAAAUAUGGUUUUUCGUUAAAGUGAACAGUACCAUGAGCUUUUCGUUAAAACUCCCUUUAUUUUAUCUUUAUCGUUAAAACGCAAAGUUUUCAAACCCUUUUCAUUAGUUUUUCUAAAAAAAAAAAAAAAAAAACACAUAUUACAAUUUCUAAAAAGAUGGUACUAUUCACUUUACCUUUUACUUUAUUCUUAUAGUUAAAACUCAAAGUUUUCUAACCAUUUUCAUUAGUUUUUCUAAAAAACAGAAAAAAAAAGAUGCGUAUUACAAUCUCUAAAAAGAUUAUACUCUGUACUGUAAUACAAAGUUACACAAUAAUUACUUGUAAAUUUGUACGUACAUUUUGUGACAUUACCGCGUUGUCCAUAAAUACGGCUUCAGCAAAAAUAUUAUUAGUCAAAUACCACGUAGAUAUAAAAAUCCCUCCGGUGAAUUUGGAUAUGGGAGCCAACUGUUGUCGCGUUGUAAUCCGAGUAAUAGGUUUGAUACGAGAAAUUUUUUUUUGUGACGGGAAUACAAAUGGUACAUCACAUAUUUUCAUAGAAAUAAAAAAUUUAUUUUUUUAAUUUAUUAACUUUUUAACACACAUAUCUCGAUAGGUGUAUAAUAACACGUGAUGUACCACCUGUAUACCGGUCGCACUGAAAAAUCUUUCUGGAUUGAUAGGACGUGGAUCCGACGUGGCUACCUAUCAUCGAUUUCAACGGUCCAACUAAUACGACAUCCCGUCGCCGUUGUAUGGAUAAGCUGUUAGAGAAGUUGGGGGCUUAGAAGAAUAAACUAGUAGAUUAAUCUCAGAGCGAGAGAGGUCGAAGCUCUCAAGCAAUGGUGUCAAAUUCGUGUAGCAGUUCUCUAUCUCGUAUUAUAAAUACCAGCCCCAUUAUUCAUUUACCCAAAUCAAAUUAUCCCAAGCAUAAUUUACCCAAAUCAAAUUAUCCCAAGCAUUCUCCUACUACAAGAUUCAAUCUUCCGAACCCAAACAACUUGUACUUUCUCAGGCGCUCUGUAAUUUCUCGUCCUGCUACUACUUCUGGUACUAUUCUCUUCUUUCUCUCUGUCUUCAAUCUGUUUGUUUUUCUGAGAAAACAAUUAGUGUUUGGGUUUCCGAGAAAAUAAUUAGCUUGAAGAUCUUUACUGACAAAGCUGAUUGCUUUUUUGUUUUACUGUUCGGGUUGUGGAAUUUCCAGAUUUUCUCGGAAUCGGGCGUCUUCGUUUUUGGCUUUUCAGGUGAUUAAUUGGCUUAUUAGUGCUUGCAGUGUUUCGAUUUAAUUCGAAGUGGAGAUUUUGAAUCCGUUUUCUGUGAAAUUGUAGAGAGAAGAAAGAGAGAUGACGAUCAAACCGGCGGUUCGAAUCUCGGAACGGAAGCUGAUCGUGAAGGACCGGACGAUUCUGACGGGAUUGCCGGACAAUGUAGUGGCCACGUCCGGUUCGUCUUCCGGUCCGGUCGACGGGGUCUUCCUCGGCGCGAAUUUCUCGGAGGAGAAAAGCCGGCACGUGGUUUCGUUAGGGACGCUUACCGGAGUCCGGUUCAUGGCGUGCUUCCGGUUCAAGCUGUGGUGGAUGGCCCAGAAGAUGGGGGAUCAGGGAAGGGACAUACCUCUUGAGACUCAAUUCCUAUUGCUCGAGACCAAGCACGGGUCCCACCUGGAAUCGGACGGCGGAGACGAAGAGAACCAGAUCGUCUACACCGUGUUCCUCCCUCUCAUCGAAGGCUCGUUCCGCGGUUGCCUGCAGGGCAACGCGAGCGACGAGCUCGAGCUCUGUUUGGAGAGCGGCGACGCCGACACCAAAGC